rnacentral:lncRNA from 1 species
GUGUGUGUGUGUGUGUGUGUAUGGACUCAGCAAUCUGUGUGUGUAUGUGUAUGGACUCAGCAGUCUGUGUGUGUGUAUGGACUCAGCAGUCUAUCAAUAAUUAAAAUUCCUGUGAGUUGUUGUGUAGGAAGGGCCCCAGUGCAUUGCUUUGCCCGGGGGCCCUUAACUCUGUUAAAAUGGUACUGCUUGUGUGUGUCAGUGAACUUCUAUUUAGUGAGCAUGUGUGUGUCAGUGAGCUUGUCUUUAGUGAGCUUGUGUGUGUGUCCCUGAACUUCUUUGUAGUGAGCCUUCUGUUUAUACAAGUGGGUGUCUGUAGUAAGCUUGUGUGUGAGUCAGAGAGUUUUGUCUGUCAGUAAGCCUAUUUGCGCAUGUCAGUGAGCUUGUGUGCUUACUGUACUAUAUAUAUAUAUAUAUAUAUAUAUAGAUAUAUAUAUAUAUAUAUAUAUAUGACUUGUGGGAAUGGCAUACGUUUUUUUUCCAGGGCUGCUUUGGAUUCCCAGGGAUUCCCAGUUUGGCUCUGCCAGCGAGUGCACUUUACCGCUAAAUAAUCUGUGUGAGCUGCCGCACACUUUAGCCCUGUUACACACGUCUGGGAGCUGCUGUUGACAGGUACUAGUAGUCUAGAGAUUGGGGUUUAUGCUCAGCUAUCUGUAUAAUACAGAUCUGUGUGUAUAAAAUAUCCCGGGAUAGUCAGUGCUUCCUGUAUAGUGCUGCUCUCUGUCUUGGGAUAUUAUACACAAACAGACCUAUAUUAUACAGAGAGCAGCACUAUACAGGGAGCACUGAGUGUCCCAAUUUAUUAUACACACAACCCUGUAUUAUACAGAGAGCACUGACUGUCCAGGGAUAUUAUACCCAGACAGUAAUUGAUGGCUGUGCUGCAAAAUGUCCUUGGAAUUUUUUUUUCAAAUGUUGGCAACUAUGGCACUGUAUCAAGGAUAAUGUGUUUGUUUUUUUAAUAAUCCCUGGUGGAAAAUAAUGAAUCCUCCACCAGGUAUUAUUAAAAAAACAAAACACAUUGUGUCAGGGGCGUGGCUUAACUUGCGACAGGGGCGGAGUCAAACUGCGAUGAGGGCGGGGUUAAAUGUGCCCCCCUACUUUUGUCACUGGCCCUCCAUGUGCCCCCCCAAAAAAUGAAUCCUAGAGACGCCACUGGUCCCAAUAGCUUGCAUUUAAAAAAAACUAAACUUUUUGGACUGUAAUAUAAUAGCAGUCAGUUUCCUUCACGCGUGUGCGUUUCAGGGCCUGCCAGGGCACAGUGUCACACCAGUGCAACUCAUAUCUGGUGUAACAGUAGUGUACAUUUAAAAAAAAAAAAAAAAUUUUGACUGUAAUAGAUUGAAUAGCAGUUAGUUGUCUGCCAGCGUGUGUGUCAGGCUCACAGCGUAUACUGUGCCCACUUGCACAGUGCCACCACUCAUAUCCGGUGUCACAAUAGCUUGCAUUUAACAAAAAAAAAACUUUUUGGACUGUAAUACAAUAGCAGUCAGUUUCCUUCACACGUGUGCGUUUCAGGGCCUGCCAGGGCACAGUGUCACACCAGUGCAACUCAUAUCUGGUGUAACUGUAGUGUAUAUUUAAAAAAAAAAUAAAAUUUUGACUGUAAUAGAUUGAAUAGCAGUUAGUUGUCUGCAAGCGUGUGUGUCAGGCCUACAGCGUCUACUCUGCCAACUUCUGCAACUGCACAGUGCCAGUCAUUUCUGCUGUCACAGUAGCUUGCAUGCAUAGUACCACUAAUCGAAAAAAAAAAUGACAGGCAGAGGCAGGNNNNNNNNNNNNNNNNNNNNNNNNNNNNNNNNNNNNNNNNNNNNNNNNNNNNNNNNNNNNNNNNNNNNNNNNNNNNNNNNNNNNNNNNNNNNNNNNNNNNCACCACUCAUAUCCGGUGGCACAUUAGAUUGCACGCGCAGUGCCCCAAAUUUGAAGUAGGAGGACCGACUAAGCAUCUUUUUCCAUCUCCCGGUUCCUAAAAAUCGAUGCCAUAUACACGUCUCCUGAUAGGGGACAGAACAGGGAUUAAACUGAUAGGAAUAGUACUACUUAACACACCUUAUAAUAACGCAGAGAGAGGCAAUGCAGAGAGAGGAGUCUGAAGAAGAGGAGUCAGAGGAGAAAGGUGGCUUUGAGGAGGUGGAAGACCAAACACAGCAGGCGUCCCAGAGGGCUUGUUGUCACCUUUUGGGGACCCUUGGUGUUGUACGUGGCUGGGUGGAGGAAGAGACCUUCAAUGACAUCAGUGAGGACAAGGAACGGGACAUGGCUAGCUUGGUAUCCAACCUUGUGCAAAUGGGGAGUUUGCGGUUGUGCAAAUGGACUGUUUGCGGUUGUUUGCGGUGCGUUAAACGGGGAGUUUGCUCUGUCACUGUGAAGCGGGCGUAACCCUUACACUACCUGAUCGAUACAACAUCAUACAGUAAGUCCCCCCCCUCAUUAUUUUUAUGGCCCCCACCCACCGCUCACAGGUGGGGGCGGGUGGGAGGACAGUAGGUCCCCCCCCCAUUGAGAUUUAUGGCCCCCACCCACUGAAUAUUCCCUUGUAUAACAAUGUUUGGCAUUUAGUGAAUAUUCCCUAUUCUGCUCUGUGUCAGUGUGUAUCAGGGAUCCUUAGGAUAGGUGUCAAUCCAUAUCUGCCAAGUGAACCUAUGUAGGGGGAACAGUCCCUAUUCUGCUCUGUGUCAGUGUGUAUCAGGAUCCUGAGGAUAGGUGUCAAUCCAUAUCUGCCAAGUGACCCUAUGUAGGGGGAACAUUCCCUAUUCUGCUCUGUGUCAGUGUGUAUCGGGGAUCCUGAGGAUAGGUGUCAAUCCAUACCUGCCAAGUGACCCUAUGUAGGGGAAUAGUCCCUAUUCUGCUCUGUGUCAGUGUGUAUCAGGAUCCUGAGGACAGGUGUCAAUCCAUAUCUGCCAAGUGACCCUAUGUAGGGGAACAGUCUCUAUUCUGCUUUGUGUGUCAGUGUGUAUCAUGGUCUCUGAGGACAGGUGGUGUCUCAUCCAUAUCUGCCAAGUGACCCUAUGUAGGAGAACAGCUCCUCCUGUGUCAGUGUGUAUCAUGGUCUCUUGAGGACAGGUGCUGCUCAAUCCAUACCUGCCAAGUGAACCUAUGUAGGGGAACAGUCCCUAUUCUACUCUGUAUCAGUGUGUAUCAGGGAUCUUUAGGACAGGUGUCAAUCCAUAUCUGCCAAGGACCCUAUGUAGGGGGAACAGUCUCUAUUCUGCUCUGUGUCAGUGUGUAUCAUGGUCUCUGAGGACAGGUGUCAAUCCAUAUCUGCCAAGUGACCCUAUGUAGGAGGAACAUUCUCUAUUCUGCUCUGUGUCAGUGUGUAUCAUGAUCUCUGAGGACAGGUGUCAAUCCAUAUCUGCCAAGUGACCGUAUGUAGGAGAACAGUCUCUAUUCUGCUCUGUGUCAGUGUGUAUCAUGGUCUCUGAGGACCGGUGUCAAUCCAUAUCUGCCAAGUGACCCAAUGUAGGAGGAACAAUAUCUAUUCUGCUCUGUGUCAGUGUGUAUCAGGGGCUCUGUGGACAGGUGUCAAUCCAUAUCUGACAAGUAACCCUAUGUCGGGGGAACAGUCUCUAUUCAGCUCUGUGUCAGUGUGUAUAAUGAUCUCUGAGGACAGGUGUCAAUCCAUAUCUGCCAAGUGACCCUAUGUAGGAGGAACAGUUCUAUUCUGCUCUGUGUCAGUGUGUAUGAUCUCUGAGGACAGGUGUCAAUCCAUAUCUGCCAAGUGACCCUAUGUAGGGAGAACAGUCUCUAUUCUGCUCUGUGUCAGUGUAUCAUGGUCUCUGAGACAGGUGUCAAUGCAUGACCUGCCAAGCACCCUAUGUAGGAGGAACAGUCUCCUAUUCUGCUCAGUCAGUGUGUAUCAGGGGCUCUGAGGACAGGUGUGUCAAUCCAUAUCUGCCAAGUGACCCUAUGUAGGAGGAACAGUUCUACUGCCUCUGUGUCAGUGUGUAUCAGGGGCUCUUAUGACAAAAAUAAUCCAUAUCUGCCAAGUGACCCUAUGUAGGGGAAACAGUCUCUAUUCUGCUCUGUGUCAGUGUGUAUCAUGAUCUCUGAGGACAGGUGUCAAUCCAUAUCUGCCAAGUGACCCUAUGUAGGGGAACAUUCCCUAUUCUGCUGUGUGUCAGUGUGUAUCAGGGAUCCUGAGGAUAGGUGUCAAUCCAUACCUGCCAAGUGACCCUAUGUAGGGGGAACAGUCCCUAUUCUGCUCUAUGUCAGUGUGUAUCAGGGAUCCUGAGGACAGGUGUCAAUCCAUAUCUGCCAAGUGACCCUAAGUAGGAGUAACAGUCUUUAUUCUGCUCUGUGUCAGUGUGUCUCUGAGGACAGGUGUCAAGCCAUAUCUGCCAAGUGACCCUAUGUAGGAGAACAGUCUCUAUUCUGCUCUGUGUCAGUGUGUAUCAUGAUCUCUGAGGACAGGUGUCAAUCCAUACCUGCCAAGUGACCCUAUGUAGGGGGAACAGUCCCUAUUCUGCUCUGUGUCAGUGUGUCUCUGAGGACAGGUGUCAAGCCAUAUCUGCCAAGUGACCCUAUGUAGGAGAACAGUCUCUAUUCUGCUCUGUGUCAGUGUGUAUCAUGAUCUCUGAGGACAGGUGUCAAUCCAUACCUGCCAAGUGACCCUAUGUAGGGGGAACAGUCCUUAUUCUGCUCUGUGUCAAUAUGUCAUAUGUCAGGUAUCAAUCCAUAUCCAUUGUGAUUUAGGAAUGUUAGGUGAUUUCUGCCCUUUAUGGAUUAAGACCAGACUCUGCAUCAACUGUGUAAUUUUCCAUGGGAGUUUUGCCAUGGAUCCCCCUCCGGCAUGCCACAGUCCAGGUGUUAGUCCCCUUGAAACAACUUUUCUAGUCCCUGUGUGUUUUAAAAUUCGCCUGCCCAUUGAAGUCUAUGGCGGUUCACGAACAUUUGCGGAAGUUCCCGUUCGCGAACCGAAAAUUUUGUGUUCGCGACAUCACUACUGACUAUGAGUAAUCAGAUAUGGACAGUGAUUCAUUCCAGAACUCACAGCGUGAAAUGUGAACUCCUAACCCCAGAUUUAUACAAAAGAACAAAGAAUAAAGGAUCAACCUACCAGUCCAGAUAAAUGAGACUGCUCAAGAUUGGAUAUGGAUUGUAAUUUAACUUUUUAGUGUUUAUGGAUCCAUGUAUAAUGUGGGCAGGCUAUGGUUAUUACUUAUUAAAACAAGUUGGCAUCUUUGAGCCAUAAUGAAGGUGUAUGAAAUCUAUUGUGUGGUACCACUUUUGGAGAUAAAUCUUGCCAAUUAUAAUACAGCUAUUUGUAUGACAUUAGUAGUGUAUUUCUGAAAUGUUGUAGUAUAUAGGGCUGUCACUAUGGCAAGUGGGUGAGUAAGACGUAUAUCACUCAUCCACCCAGAUUGAUAAUGCGGAAUGGGUGUUUUUUUUACAAACAUUAGGAUGUACAUGACACAGUGAAUCUUGAUGGUUGGAAUAGUUUAUCCAGUGCAAUAAUAUGACAGUAAGACUCAUUGCAUUUUCACUAUUUUUGGAUACUAUCAAGGAGACCGGAUAUUUAACUGUCCACCCAUUACUCUCCUACUUGUCUCCAUCAUUAGGAGGGAGGAACGGGGCCACAUCUAUCCUUAUUUGGAAGGAGUGGCCAAUGGUCAUUCGGUAUACCCCCUUUUGCACCGGAGUUUGCUGAAUUGGACGGAAAGCUUAACCGUGGAGUCCCUGCCCGACUAUACACACAGGCAGACAUCAUUGGAUUUCGAUUGGCGAUAAGAUCACGCCUAUCUUUAAAUGGGGGGGGACACUGAAUCAAUUCGAGAGGAGGCACCCUUCAUUAGGACACAUAUAUAAAAGUGGUUGGUCAACCUCAGUUACUGUUUAGCGCCAGACAAAGGCACUUCUUAGCACCGAAAUGUGUGUCAGGCGCUUCUCUUAUUUUUCUUUUUGUUUUGGCAUUUUCCAACACAGUAAGACAACACAGUAAAUAUUUAUUAAAUAUUUUUUGUUUUCUUUCUUAGGCUGAUAUACUUAUGUAGUGACCUUUUUGUUCCCUUUGAUUAAGUAUAUCUUCCAGAGGUUAGUUUUGCUGGACUACCCAGGUAUAUUGUUCACAGGGUAUUUGAUUUAUAGAUUAUUGUGUCCCUGGAAAUGCCACUAUAACGCUCCUGUUAUGUAGAUGCAAUUUAAUUUUGAGUCCCAAAUUGUUGUUCUUUCCUUUUUUCUCCUUCAACUGUGUAUUAAAGGACCACUAUAGUGCCAGAAAAACAUACUCGUUUUCCUGGCACUAUAGUGCCCUGAGGGUGCCCCCACUCUCAGGGACCCCCUCCCGCCUGGCUCUGGAAAAGGGAAAGGGGUUUAAACUUACCUUUUUCCAGCGCUGGGCGGGGAGCUCUCCUCCUCCGGGGCUGAAUGCGCACGCGCGGCAAGAGCUGCGCGCGCAUUCAGCCGGUCACAUAGGAAAGCAUUCAUAAUGCUUUCCUAUGGACGCUGGCGUGCUUUCACUGUGAAAAAUCACAGUGAGAAGCACGCAAGCGCCUCUAGCGGCUGUCAAUGAGACAGCCGCUAGAGGAAAUAGGGGAAGACUUAACCCAUUCAUAAACAUAGCAGUUUCUCUGAAACUGCUAUGUUUAUUAAAAAAUGGGUUAACCCUAGCUGGACCUGGCACCCAGACCACUUCAUUAAGCUGAAGUGGUCUGGGUGCGUAGAGUGGUCCUUUAAGUAGAUAAAGAUGUUCAGACUUUAAGACGCCAUCUUGACCUAAGUCAGGAAGAUUUCCAUGAUGUAUAUUUUUGCCAAGUUAAGGGAGGUCCUAAAAUGAAUAAAGUAAAAGAAGUGUUACUUUUUCAUAAAUUAACUACGGUAAGCCUAAAAUUAAGACACCUAAGGUAUAAAUAGACAGACAGAGGAGUGACUUGGAGACAGACGUUGCUCCAUCUUAAAAUGACAGAGAGGCUGACAUGAUGACAUGUUCAGGAGGGUAUGUUAAUCUACUAAUGAUAUUUGCAAGCAUUUAGAUUAAUCUUAUAAACUCUGCUAUAAAUUAUUGUAAUGGAUUUUAUAUGUCUAUAUUUAUAUUUUUAUAUAAUAAAUAUCAAAAAAGACAAAACUUUAUUGCUUCCAAGACAAUCCUUAUUUUAUAUUGUAUUCUCAAUUAUUUAUAUAUGUUAAAUAGAGAAUCUCUUACUAUGUCAAAUUAUGGCGAAGAUAUCUGUAUGGUUAGCCCUGCUAAGUUCUAGGAUUUAAGAUGUUAUAGUGGUAAAUAAGGGAACGAGCCACGGUUACAAUCUGAAAAUACAUUUGUUGUGUUCUGCGCAAAGAGGCUAUUUCUUUUGUAUCGUGAGUAUACUUACAUCUUCCAUUCAGGCAAUUUUCCUGGGCCCACUGGAACUUUUUGAAAGUUCCAUACCACAGAUCAGAUGGUCCCACUGACUUACAAAGUGAAAGAAGAAGUACAUUGAUGGUUGAUUCACAUUUUCCUGGAAUGGCAGAGGCAUUUUGGUUCAACUCCAGGUUUUAUCAAACCCAAAGUCAGCCUGUGGGGUUGUAGUGUUUCCUACUUUGACAGCUCUGACCAAGGUCAGAAUCAAAAUCUUCACUAUACAUUAGUUGCCUAGAAUUGAUGCGGGAUUUUUCCUGAUUUACAGUUUAUCAUGUAACAAAGAAAAUUGUUGCAUUCUUCUUUGUAUGGACACUGUGUGUCGGUGGUGCAAUGUAUCAACCACCUUGCAGAGUCUUGACUCGGGUGUUAUCAGAAAUUACAAAAGACAUCUUCUAAUUUUAUUUCUAAUCACAGCAUUUCACUCAGGUCGGGAAUAUCUGCCUGGUACAUCAAAUCUGUUGGCAGGUUCUCCAGGCAUUAGAGGGCCAUUAGGGAUUGGAUGCUGGAUAGAUCAGUUUAGCUGGUGCAGACACUUCAAGUGCCCUUUUUCGAUGGUCCUCUUUGCUUCCUAGAACAAUUGCCAAUUACCUCAGUUUUACAGUUGGCUUCCAGACCAGGACUGCACCUCAGUGUACGCCUUCCUCCAUAAGGCUUGCACCUUCCCAUUUGCUAUGAUUGCAAAUGUACCUUAUUAAGUCAAUCCCAGAGUGUUUCCCUGGUUCUAAUUGCUCCUUUUUGGCAGAGCCAAGCUUGGUUGCCAAACCUCUUGGAAAUGUUAUUCAGGGAUCCUCUGUGGAUUCCACCCUUCCAUCUACAUCUCACAGCUCCAUGGGGGUACUCACAUCCUUGCAUCCUUCAGGAGUGUCUUCAGCUGUUGGCUUGGACACUUUCAGUGGUUCCUAAGAUAUUGAAGACUUUUCUCAGAUGUCUAAGAAUUUAUUUUGGGACUCCUAAGCCUUGGGUACCAAAACAAUGUUACCUGGACUACCCGGAGUCACAGGUGUUUGGAAUGGAGUAUUGAUCUCUUUACAGCUUCUCUAUAUUCCAUAUAAAAUGUCUCUCAUACCUUUUUCUGACUGUUGUUUAUUAGACUGCAGAAUGUAUAACUCAACAUGAACUUCGUGCUCUCGCGAGCUCUGAAAAUGUCAAAAUGUAUAUGAAAGGCGAAUUAAUUUCCUUCUGUUAAAGGUCGCAUGGGAUAUAUAUGUGGUAUAGACAGAUUGAACCCUUUAAAUGACAAUACAAAUACCAACAUUUAUUCAAGUGAAUGCAGAAAUACUUAAAAAAUGCAAACUAAUGAAGAAAUUGUGCUCUUGAAGAAAGCCAGGAACAUUUUCAGUGUUCCUGGGACAGUGGGACUUUUAUCAAAUUUCUCCCAAAUAAGGCUUGAAACUUGGAAAUCUGGCCCUACACGCCAAUACACAAUGAAUCCGAGUGUUAUAGGCAGCAUAAUAUAAUGCAGAGGGACUGAAAGGGUUAUAUGUAAUAUACUGGCAGAUAUCCAGUUUGUAAAUAUUCCAUCAUGAUUAUAUUUUCCAGUUUGAUGACUUACGAGUGCAAAGCAACUCUUAUGAAGGUUCAUAUUUACAUCCAUCAACCGACUUAGCGGAGGCAUAAUGUCUAACGCAAUAAAUUGAUUUUGACACACAAAUGGAUAAACUCUGGUUCUGUGUCGCUGAUAAAAUAGAAGCAAACCACAAUGAUUGACUUUAUGAUAAUCCUCUGUUUUCUCCACGUGUGCAGAAAAUUAUCCAUCAAUUAUGUUUACUUUUAAAGAGCCACUUACAUCUAAAGCCUCAUAUUUAUUUGUGAGUUCUGCAAAGCAAUUUUACAUUGCUGUUGAACAUUAGGCGUUUUACCUGAUAAUCCCACAUUUGUUAAGAAGCUAUGGUCAAUAGUUAUCAUGCAACCGCAAUUGUUCCAUUUAUGUGUAUGCCCAUUUCUCAGAGAGAUUCUUCUAGACCCAGAGCUUUUUCUAGAUACACACUGCAAAAUGCAGUUAUAUAUAUAUAUAUAUAUAUAUAUAUAUAUAUUUUAAUUUAAUUUGUUAUAGCUUUUUCUAGAUACACACUGCAAAAUGCAGUUAUAUAUAUAUAUAUAUAUAUAUUUUUUAAUUUAAUUUGUUAUUUCUUUUCGUAUUUGUUUUUCCACUUUUCCUUUCCUAGACUGCUUCACUGUAGGUCUGUAAAGUAACAUAUCCAGUCACAGACCUUGCCAGGUUUUGGAUUGGGUUGGGACCACUGGCGUACAUACCACGGUCGCAGGGGUCGCAGCUGUGACUGGGCCCCUCACUCCAGGGUGCUCGGUCGCAGCCUCGACCCCUGCUACCAUGGGCCGCCUGUAUACCUUAUGGGCCGGUGUACAGGUCUGGCAGGAAGGGAGUGCUGCACUGUGCUGCUCCCCUCCUGCCUGUGUGUAUCGUGACUGAGCGGUCUGACAGGAAAUGCUCACUGUUUCAAAUUCACUUUGAAUUCACAUUAAAUUUCUGGCAAGUCUCACUUUAGUAAAUAACCCUGUUUUGGAUCUCUGAUGAAAGUGUGAGAUAGUUUAUUGAUCAUCAAUAUAGGCAUAUUUCACUACCCUCUUAUCUUUUCACUGUUAACUGCCUCUGUGAGACUACCAUAUAGACCAGGGGUAGUCAACCUUUUAAUACCUACUGCUAACUUUUGUAUCUUUGUUAAUGGUAAGAUUUCUUUACCGCCCACCAGUGCCGCAGUAACUAAUUAUAUAGCGCAAGUGCAAUUUUUUGUUUCUUUUAGAAAGGAGCGGUUUUUGGUUUUUUUAAAUAUGUACUUAAAUAUAUCUAUUGUUUUCCUUUUUUUCUAUUUUCUAUUCUACUUUUUUCUAUGUGUGGCUGUGAGGUGCUUUGUAUGUGUGUGUGUGUGUGUAGGGUAUUGUGUGUUUGUGUGUGAGAGAGGUGCAGUGUGUGUGUGAUGGGGCAGUGCGUGAGGUGCUUUGUGAGUGUGUAUAGGGUAUUGUGUGUUUGUGUGUGAGAGAGGUGCAGUGUGUGUGAUGGGGCAGUGUGUGAAGGGUGCAGUGUUUGUGAAGGGUGCUGUUUGUGUGAGUGGUGCUGUAUGUGUGUGAGAGAGAGAGAGAGAGAGAGAGAGAGAGGUGCAGUGUGUGUGAAUGGUGCAGUGUGUAUAAAUGGUGCUGUGUGUGUGAGGGGCCCAGUGUGUGUGAGGGUUGCUUUGUGUGUGUGGGGUGCUGUGUGUGUGUGAGGGUGGCAGUGUGUAUGCGAGGGGGCAGUGUGUAUAUGUGAGAUAGGCUAGAAAGGUAUACGUAGUGUGCAUGGGAUAAAUAGAGAAGGGAGGGGAGUAAAGUGGGAGCAAUGAAGAUGGUGUCACCAGGGACAGGUGAGCAGAAGGCUAGGGAUAUUUUAGUAAUGAGAAAAGUUAAGAAAGGUAAAACAUUAUUAAGGGAAAAUGUGUUUUGUUAUAUUGAUAUGAAGAUUAUACAUAUAUACACACAUAUAUAAUCAUAGACAUAUAUAUAUAUAUACAUACAUAUACCUAUGAGUGUUUAAACUGUUAUGGGCAAAUGCAAAUAAUACAAGUUUUAGAAUGAAAUGUUGUAUUUCUUAAACUGUGUACUUUGUCUUUAAGAGAUAUUGCAAACUGACAAGGUGUUAGAAAUGGAAUAUAUUGUUUUUCAUAACUGUUUCUUUAAGCAAUAACCUCAGUGCAUAAUAUGUUUGCGCCAUUUUGUCCCAGACGAAUUACAAUAACAAUAAUGCAUAAACAAGCUUCAAGGCUAUACUUCGACUCUUGCAGUACACAAUAUACUGUGGUAACCCCAAGUUAAUGGAACUUCCACAAAUCCGGGAAUCUCCCACGACUGUACACUUACGACUUAGUAUAAACAACAGAUAACCUAUUCAGACUUUAAGAUGCCAUCUUGAACUAAGUCAGGAAAAUCUCCAUGACGUAUACACCCUUUAGUUAUGGCCUUGUAUGUUUGCCAAGUUAAGGGAGGUCCUAAAUUGAAUAAAGUAAAAGAAGUGUUACUUUUUCAUAUUUGAACUACGGUAACCUAAAAUGGAGACAGAGGUAUAAAUAGGUGUACUUUUAAAUGUUAAGAUACAGAGGAGAGACUUGGAGACAGACGCUGCUCCAUUUUAAAAUGACAGAGAGGCUGACAUGAUGACAUGUUCAGAAGGGUAUGUUAACCUAUUAAUGAUAUUUGCAAGCAUGUAAUUUAAUCUUAUAAACUUUGCUCUAAUGGAUUUUAUAUUUUUAUAUAAUAAAUAUCCAAAAGACAAAACGAUUGCUUCCAAGACAAUCCUUAUUUUAUAUUGUAUUCUCAAUUAUUUAUAUAUGUUAAAUAGAGGAUCUCUUACUAACUAUAUAAAAUUAUGGCUAAGAUAUCUGUAUGGUUAGCCCUGCUAAGUUCUAUGCUUUAAGACAUUAUAGUGGUAAAUAAGGGAACCACCCACGGUUACAAAACCAUGAUUAAAGCAUGCAGUUUGUUAACAGAGGGAUUUCAGCUGAGGAGAGGUUUAGGGACUUGAUUGGUGUGUUUUGAAAACCAGCUGAUCGGCACUAUCUAUAAGUAUGGUGGGGUGGUGUGGUGUGGGGAAGGCAGGGCAGGGCACGGCAGAGGAGGAGAGGGGAGGGGAGGGUGGACAGCCUUCCAAACAUGAUACCUCUGUUCAGGGGCGUAAAAUGUUAAGGGUUUUCUCUCUUCUUUUUUUUUACAAUUUGUGAACUUUGCAAAACCGCUGUCAGCCCCUCCUACAAAACCCUUGUCCCGCUCCGCCCCUCCUACAAAACAUCUGUCCUGCCCCUUCUACAAAUCCUGUACUGCCCCGUCUACAAAACCCCCGCAACCCCCUUCCACAAAUCCCCUGCUUAUCCCCCCUUAUAAAGACUCCUGUCCCAAUACAAAGCCCCCGCCCCCUUCUACAAAAUCCCUGCAGCCCCACACACACAUUUACAGGCAGACAGUCACACACUCAGUUACAGACAGACAGUCACACACAGUCACAGGUAGACAGUCACACAUACUACACAUACACAUUUCCUCCGUGCGGCCAGUUUAUCAGCUGUUUGCUUGUGUGAGCUGUACUGGCCGCACGGCACCCUAACUACCAUGGGACACUGUGCGGCCAGCUCACACAGCCCCCUCCAGCCAGGCCGGGUGCAAGGAUUUUUGCCGCCUUUAGGUAAAAGUAAAGUUUGUCGCCCCAUGUGACAUCACAAUGCCCCCACCCGUAUGAUUUGCCAUGUUAACUAACGCCAGUGCUGCAGUGCCGCCUUGUUUACAUUAAAAGGCCUGCAGGGACAGGCUAUAGACACCAGAACCACUACAUUAAGCUGAAGUGGUUCUGGGGACUAUAGUGUUUCUUUAAUGUGAGGUAAAUUAGAGCUUAGUGCCACGAAUAAUAUACUAUAUUGCCUACUUACAACUAGAUGAGGAAGAUGAUGGGCUCUAGCUGCAGUCUGGCUCCACUGGUCUGGUGCAGAACAGGCUCUCUGGAGGCGGUUUGUAACUGUGGUCACAAAAAUCAAUGUUCUGGGAGAACGGGAAGCAGCUCCAUUUUUUGGGGGUCCUUUACACAGCUCAAGGUCUGGGUCCCAGGGUCCACCUUCAUGUUCCACCAAUGAGUUUGUUCACAGGGGGUGGAGUGUGUAGGGGAUGUCCUGAUAUGUGUGUAAGGAAUGCAUUGUGUGAAAUUGUGUUUGUAUGUGUAAGGACUGCAAGGUGUGUUUCUGUGUAUGUAUGGGAUGCAUUGAAUGUGUGUAAGGGGUGCAUUGAGUGUGUGUAAUGAAUGCAUUGAGUGUUUCUGUGUGUGUAAGGGAUGCAUUGUGUGUAACGGUUGCAUUGCUUGUGUAUGUGUGUCUGUGUGUGUAAUGCAUUGUGUGUUUUUCUGUGUGCAAGGGGUGCAUUGUGUGUAUUUGAUGAAUGUCAAUCUCUCCUCCUCCCAAUUUCUCUUUCUCCCCCCCUCCUAAUUUCUCUCCCCCCUCCGAAUUUCUCUAUCUCCCCUCCUAAUUUCUCUCCCCCCUCCUAAUUUCUCUUUCUCCCCCCCUCCUAAUUUCUCUUUCUCCCCCCUCCUAAUUUCUCUUUCUCCCCCCCAUCUAAUUUCUCUUUCUCACCCCCAUCUAAUUUCUCUUUCUCACCCCCCCAUCUAAUUUCUCUUUCUCACCCCCCCAUCUAAUUUCUCUUUCUCACCCCCCCNNNNNNNNNNNNNNNNNNNNNNNNNNNNNNNNNNNNNNNNNNNNNNNNNNNNNNNNNNNNNNNNNNNNNNNNNNNNNNNNNNNNNNNNNNNNNNNNNNNNCCUCCUGUCAGCCCCUCUCCUCAGGCUGAGCCCGGGCGGUGCGGUCCGCCCUCAUGGGGGGGGGCGGGGGCUGGCCAUGGAACCCCCCACCCGGCUGGCACCCGGGGCGGACCGCCUCCUCCGCCCCCCCCUUAGUACGCCACUGCACUGGCUCCCUAUAAAGGCUUGUGUGCUGUUAUGGUAGCACCACCCUCCUACUUCGGCUUGAAGAAUUUCUCGGGAACAUGAAAAAAAGAGAAGAAAGCAAACCAAUGUGUAGACUUAUGGUGAUAAAUGACACAGAUAUGUGUUCAAUAAAUGGGGUGCUCACCUGGUCCUGAGCCUACGAAUCCCGGCUCUAGGUAUGUGGAUUUUGUGCCAAUUUGAAUGGGGAUGGCACUACCCCUGUGAGGAUUCCUUGGAGGCUCCAAAAAGAACUUGGAUGAGGUAUUGGAUGUAAAUGGUGAGUUUAUUAGUUUAAAAUAAUCAUAAAAACAAAGAUGAUAAAAGUCCUCAAAUAAAAGUCCUUUAAAAAUGGCCAAUACGCGUUUCACUCUCAAAUAGAGCUUCUUCAGUCAGCUGACUGAAGAAGCUCUUUUUGAGAGUGAAACGCGUAUUGGCCAUUUUUCAGCUGACUGAAGAAGCUCUAUUUGAGAGUGAAACGCGUAUUGGCCAUUUUUAAAGGACUUUUAUUUGAGGACUUUUAUCAUCUUUGUUUUUAUGUUUAUUUUAAACUAAUAAAUUCACCAUUUUCAUUCAAUACCUCAUCCAAGUUCUUUUUGGAGCCUCCAAGGAAUCCUCACAGGGGUAGUGCCAUACCCAUUCAAACUGGCACAAAAUCCACAUACCUAGAGUGGUGCUACCAUAACAGCACACAAGCCUUUAUACGGAGCCAGUGUUUUCUAUAUACAGGCUCCUUGAAAUGUGAGUGUAAUAUUUAACACGAUAUUAUUAUAAUCACUGUGAAGCCAUUUUUUAGUACCGUCUACACUAUAUUGUAUUUUCUGUAUUUUAUUUUGACAUGUACCCCAUAUUUUACCAUUGAAUGAGACUACGUUUUGGUAAGAUUUAUCUGUGUUUGAGCGCUCCACUUAUAGGUGUAGGUCCUUGUCACUUACACCGCACCAAUAUCUACUAAAUUUAUUCAGUGGAAUAGAGAAUAUUUCCACACUAGUGUAUUGAGCUGCCUGUAAAUCACUUUUUGACUCUUUUGAGCACUUUUGUUAUACACACUCCUCUGUAAAAAGAAACAACCUUUAAUUGGUAUUUAUAGUGUCCCUUUAAUUUACAAGUAGUCACACACAAUGAAUGGAGCUGCUCAAUAAGCUGAUUACAGCAAUACUGGGGCUAUUAUCAGUGUACAGUACACACAGUUAAAUGCUGGCAUACUGUCCACAGCUCAACCAUUCCUCCAGAGCGGAGAGUUAGCUCAGUCCAAGUUGUAUAUGUGGAAUGCAUAACCAGGACAAUAUUAAAAAUGGGAUAUGAGAAUUCUGUGCUCUUGUGUGACUGCUCUGAGUUAGUAUAAAGUACUCUCUACACCAUUUACCUUACAAAACUGCAAAGCUGUUGCAAUAUUGAAACUCAUAUAAAUACAUGUACAAUAUAAUUCGACAAUCUCAUGCAAUACAUCUGGAUGAAAUAUGUACUAGGGACUCGGAAUGUUACAAGGUUAUAGUUGUUUUUUUACACAAGUGUAUACCACAUGAACACAUACUGACAGAUGUUCACUUCUUGGCAGCAUGACAACUGUGCUGUGUUACUGUUACUGGGCAGAGUGCUGUCUCCUUUAAAAGGUAUGUAUGCAUUAUUUUUUUAAAGUUAAUUAAUGACCUUGCAAAGACCAUUGGAAUCCACUUCUCAUUGUUUGUAGAUUACACAAGUUUUGAAUGGUAACAUCACAUCAGGGGAUCACUGCUAAGGGCUAUGAGUAAAAUGGCAAACUAAGUAGGUAAAGGACAGUUUAGAUCUGACACAGAUAAAUGCAAGGCUAUGUGCUUAAAGAACAAAAAGAAACAUUUCAAGUUAUACAAUAAAUAUGAUAAACAGCUCAGACUAAAGAAGCAUUUAAAGCCACAAUGUGUAAAUAAAACCGUCUAAACAUGUCUUUUUAUAAAUGAUGAUGGCUGAUUAAAUAAAAAGAUAUGAUUAUGAAUAAAAACGGAAACAAAAAUGGUUAUGAUACACUUACUCUCGCAGAUUGCUUAUCCUUAAAGCAGCUUUUGUCCACUUACAGAGGGCAGGUGGCGGAGGUUAACUCCGCGCUCACUGUAAUACGUUGCUGAGACAGACAGCACCACUACUGCCUGUCUGAACUCAGACAAUAAGGAGAUGCCACAUUAAGGGGAGGAGAUGGUGGAACUGCAGCAACUACUAUCAAAAAAAUAUGUAAAAACAAAAAACAACAAAGGGGAGCCUGCAACCCUCUCCUAACUGCUGCCCUGGUCUGAAAAAUCCUCCAACUUCAAGUUAUAGUGACAGUUUAAAUAAAUAGAAAAAUCUGUGGCACUUUCCCUUUAAGAAUAGAAGGUUAUACCUUUGAAUUAUUAUUAACAAAACCUGUGCUGCUAUCCUCUAAUUCUCCCCUAUAUGUAAGAAUCAAUUGUCCAAUGUAUUAAACCAAUGAGUUAGCACACACAAUUUGGGAAAAUUUAAAUUGACAGAAUUUAUUUGGAAUAAUAUGUUCUCUGCAAUUUAGAUUCUAUUGAAUAAUCAUGUUAGAGCAGCGUGCCGUGGCGCCCUGGGUGCUGCGACAGUCGCAUUGGGGUGCUGCAAGAUAUUUUCCUGGUGCUAUAAUCAUAGCACCGGGAACUGUGCUCUCCCCUGCCGGCUCUGCAGGACUGGAAGGGAGAUCAGAGAUCUCCCUCUCCGUCCCCUGCACUUUGCUGACAGCUGGCAGAAGAGGGAGGGAGAGAGGACCCAGGGGAGCUCUAACCUGAAGCUUUGCCGGAUUCUCCUCUCGCGAGCUCGGAGCAUUGCCGCAGUUACCAUGGCAAUGCUUUGAAUCUUGCAAGAGUGAACUCUAGCAGCUCUUGAGGCUGCUAGAGUUUGUUCUCACCACUGGAACCACUAGGGCUUCCCCCACAGGUCACCAGGGAUUAGAGGAAAUGUCCCCCCUUCCAAGCAAAGGUACGCAGGGAGGGGGAUAUCAUUUUUAUUUUUAAUUUAAAAAAAAUAAAGUAUAUAUUUAUAAUUUGCCCUCCUACCCCCACAGACCCCACACCACACAAUAGCUCCCCCACACACACACACUGCCCCCAUAAACACACACUGCCCCCCCCCCACACACACACUAUCCUCAUACACACACACUACUCCCAUACACUCAAUUACCCCAUACACACAAUUACCCCCAUACACACACACUAUCCCCCAUACAUGCACACCAUCACCCAUAAACACAAUUACCCCCAUACACACACACUGCCCCCAUACACACACACUAUCCCCCACACACUCACACUACCCACCCAUACACACAAUUACCCCCAUACACACAAUUACCCCAAUACACACACUGCCACGCUAUACAGACAAACUAUCCCCAUACACACACUACCCCCCAUACACACAAUUACCCCCAUACACAUACACUGCCACCCAUACACACACACUGUCCCCCAUACAUGCACACUAUCCCCCAUACACACAACUACCCCAUACACAAUUACCUCCCCCAUACAUGCACACUAUCCCCCAUACACACAACUACCCCAUACACAAUUACCCCCCAUACACACACUACCCCCAUACACACACACUGCCCCCCUAUCCGACUGCAGCAUGGUAACGUUGUCAGACAGUGUAUAUAUGUUCAACAAAGGCUUGGAUAAAUUUUCAGCAAAGCAGGAUAUACAGGCUUUAGCGAAUUAAUCUAACAUACAGAGAAUGUUUAUUGAUCAAAGAUGAAUGAUUGUUCCUGUGAAGAAAACAAAAGGGCAAAGCAUUUUGCCAUCUUACAUAUUAAUUGCAACUGUUGGGAAUAAUACACUUUGCCUAUACUGAUGACUGGAUGUUCAGUCUGUCUGAAAUUGGCUAACUUGGAGCAUGUCAGCUAUUUGCAAUAAUAUACUUUAUCUAUAUCCAAUGCUUAGUGAAUAUACCCCUAGACAAGUGUUGUAGAACAUCGUGUAACAAGUAUCAGGUGUUAUAUCCUGUAUGUUUCUGCUGCUGUCCUUAUUUCCUGUGUUUCUCCCUUUGAUCAUAACUGCAUAGUAAUGUGUAAUUUAGAACUGAGUAGUAAAUAUCUUUAAUUCGUAGUGCGCAUGCAUGUUAAUUUAAAGUGCAUAGUUAUAGUGAAACUUUGCUUUGUGCAAGGCCUAAACAUGAAGAUGCACCUGCAAGCUUGUUAUAGGUUAAGAUAAGAUAGAUGAUUUUGUUAGGAUUGGAUAAUGCUUGUAGGACCACCCCUGUUUCCUCUUGAACAUAAACUGUUACACAGCUCAUUAAAGGCUAAAAAAUCACUUUGAACCUUGCAUUGUCUUGUAUCGUUCAUUGGGAGCUCCUCGCCAGCUGGUUUGGGGACAAGGAGAAAUACAGAGAGUUGCAAAUUGAUACAAAAGACCAUGGCAAGGGGAAAUGCCUGACAAAGAAAAUUCCUAUCAGCAACAUAGACAGUUUUGUUUAAUUUUAAGAUUUCUGUCUUUUAAUGCUUGUGUUUUUUCAUACCGUAUAAAGAGUGUACUGGAACUAAUUAAAUGGCCUAAAUAAAAAAAUUAGAAAUGCUAUUUAGUAGAUAUACCCACUUUAUAAUGUGUUUUUUCAGUGGGGGGAUAUCUAUAAACAGGUGAUAUACCGAUAAAUAGCAAAACCUGCAGUUCUCUUGUCUGCAGCCUUUGCAAGCCAUCCUCUUCUAACCCCGCCCAGACUUUCUGUGGCUGUCCAAUCACAGACUUCCCAGUGCAGAUCAAUGAGAAUUUUUCGCAAGGAAGGUUCUCUGGAUAUUUGCUGCCUCUUGAGUUUAGCUUCACAGGGUUAACAUGGGAAGUAACAGGACCUGUUUUCUGACAUCGGUGAGGGUGUUACAAGUUCAAUUUAUAAAAGUGUAAAUUUCUACUGAAAUCUACACUUUAUGUAAAAUAAAAAAAAAUAAAAAAACACACAUCACAAGUAAAUCACUUUAGCAAGCUAAAGAACUUUAGGUGUUUGGAGUGUCCCUUUAAGGUAAGGGUAGCCAAUAAAUAUAUUUCAUUUCUUCCUUCAUCUUUCCUAUCCCCUUUCUCCAAUUUUAGGAUGCCUCAAAAUAUUCGGCAACAGUGCUUUAGCAUUCUAAAAUUAUUGUUAGCAGUCUUCAAUCAAAUACUGAGCAAACCCUAAUUAGGUUAUACUUACUGUCUGUAAAAGCAAACAUUUUGUGAAUGUUGCAAGGACAAUAAUUUAUUGAAGUCUAUUUCCAGCAAUUUUAGCCCAGUGCUGGGUGUGCUCAGGCAAACCCUAUUACACCUGGAACACUCUUAGGGGAGAUCCUGCUGCUGCAUGACCAGUCCAAAAGAUCUCCCUGACUGGCUCUUCGUUCCCUCAUUGCUUCAUUGGAGCUUGUGGUCUGCACCUUGGGCAGGUGCAGGCCAGUGUGUGUCAUUGUUCGCUUCAUUCUCUCUGGGACUUCUGCAAGAAAUCCUUAAUAUCAUAGAAUCCAGAGCAGAGAUUCUUAACGUUAAUUUGAACAUCUAACUAUACUUCAGUGAGACACGGUAAGUUGAUUACACAGAGACAAUAAAAAUAUUAUAAAAUUUCAUUUUUUGUAAAAAUGGCUCAUGGGGCUCGGUCAGGUGGCGUACAUUAGCUUACAAGUACAACUCAAACGGUAUACAAACAAAAUAACAAAUUAAAAAAGCAAUAGUACUUAACUUGUAAAGAUGCGUAACAGCCUCCCUAGGUCGCUACCCAAACAAGCGUACAUUAGGUAUCCACUCUGACCCUUUUUUUGUCUUUUUUUCCCAAAAGAUGCAACCUGCAAGUGAUUAAUAUUUAAUCUAAUAUAAACUUAAAUAAUUUAUUACAUUUAACCUUUUUUUUAAAUGAUUUCCUACGGUGUCUAAAAAAAAUUUUUUUGAACUUCCAAAUGUACUAGUCCCUCUAAAACUGAUGGAAUUGUGCAAAAUCUCUGGCAUCGCAGUGUAGCCCCGGGCAUAUUUACAUAAGCAGACAGGGCAGCUUUAGUAAUAUAAAUAUAAAGAGGAAGCAAAACACUAAUUUAAAAGGAACGCCAAGUAUACCAAACUUUCCACACUGUCGCUCACGAAGCAUGCUGCUCUUUGGUGUAGCGUACAGUAAUCCACUACAACCAGACAUGGUGGGAUACCAAUCGAUAAAUCAUGCAGACUGUGAAUUAUGUACAGUCCACAGAAAUACAAGUCUGUGGGAUCUCUUGUGUAGGUUAUGGUGCACAGAGGUUCACUAUCAUUGUUUCCAUGGACAUAGUGUCUUGUAAAUGCAAUAAUUUACAAUGAUCACUGCAGCUGUAGGCUGACCCCCUGACUUGCAGACAUCAAGGUCGCAAGCAUAUGGUUUCCCUUUCCACCCAAGAACUUGUCCAGCACACAUUAUACAAAUUAGACGUGUGCAAUUCGUUUCGUUCCGAAUACAAAUUCGGACGAAUUUCAGAAAUUCGGACAUUUAGAUGCUUCCGAAUGUCCGAAGUGCCGAAUUUCCGAAGUGCCAAACUUCGGAAUGCCGAACUGAACCGAAAUGAUGAAGUUCAGAAUUUUGGAAUGCCGAACCGAACCAAACCGAAUUGCCAAAGUGCCGAAUUUCUGAAGUGCUGAAUUUCCAAAGUUCCAAAGUGCUUUGGAUUUCUGAAAAAUGGCAAAACAGAGGAGGGUUGAGGUUAGGGGUUGUGUUAGUGGUUGGGGUAGGGUUAGGGGUUGGGGUAGGGUUAGUGGUUGGAGUAGGGUUAGGGGUAGAGUUGGGGUAGAGUAACCCUACCCCUAACCCUACCCUACCCCUCACCCUAUGCUAACCCUAACCUUACCCCUAAUCUUACCAUAACCCUACCACUAGCGCUACCCUAACCCUGCUCCUAACGCAACCCUACUCCUAACCCUACCAUAAACCCUACCCCUAACCCUACCCUACCCCUCACCCUAUGCUAACCCUAACCUUACCCCUAAUCUUACGAUAACCCUACCACUAGCCCUACCCUAACCCUGCUCCUAACGCAACCCUACUCCUAACCCUACCAUAACCCUACCCCUAACCCUACCACUAGCCCUACCCUAACCCUACUCCUAACCCUACCUAACCCUACCUCUAACCCUAACCUUACCCCUAACCCUACCAUAACUCUACCAUAACCCUACCUCUAACCCUACUCUUACCCUUAACCCUACUCUAACCCUAAUCCUACCCCUAACUUAAGCCUAACCCUACCCUACACUUACCUCAUGUCCCGAAGUGCCGAAGUUCUGAAGUUCCCAAAGUUCCGAAUUUCGGAAUGCCAAACCGAACUGAAGUGCCGAAGUCCCGAAGUUCCGAAGUCCUGAAUUUCGGAAUGCCAAACCGAAUAUUUUUCCCAUGCACAUCCCUAAUACAAAUUCCCAUCUCCGCUGACAGGCUCCAUUAUGGAUAUCUGUGAAUUAGUAAAAUGCGCAAAAGCCUUUAUAGCUCCAUUGGAUGAAUGGAGCUUUCGGUAAGCUGAUGGCAAGGUAGUUGCAAUGAACUUUUGCAGUGUUUUAUGUAGUGUAUUGGAUGAAUGGAACUGUUGCUUAGAGAUGAACAUAUUUAUACUGGGAUGGAGUUUACAAUGUGUAUGUUCAAACAAUGGCAGAGCUAGUAUCUUUUUAUUUUUAAGUUUUUAAAAUAUUUUAAUGCAUUAUAUAUAUUAUUAAAAUAGAGGUCAAUUCCAGCCACGAGUCCAAAUGGAUUGAGUUUUCUAAAAAAAAACUCAGCAUUGGCUGCUUGUACAACCCACAGUACAGGUUGGGUUAAUAUAGAUGUAUAUGACUAAGUAAGAACAUACCACUUAUGGUGUUCUUUGAAGAUGGCCAAUGACCGGCCAAUAAUUUAAGUAUCUGAUAUGUAUAUACAAUAACACUGGGGUCAGAAGUUGAAUAUGUUGAUGGGACACAUACAGAAAUGGUUGUGAGAAAUAGCUUUAAUUGCAUACAUAACACGUGCAAGUUUCCAUUGGCCCAGGGUGACAAGGAACUGGCAAAUAUGUUUGUACAGGAAAACUAAAAUGAGUAUUUUAAAAUGCCAUAUACAUCAAAUUAUGCGUAAUUGCCAUGCAUUAUAUGUACAUUUUUGACUGCAAAGCUCACAUCCAUCACACUUUGUGUAGCGCUGUUCUGAAAUUGUAGCCUUUCUUUCCCCAUCCCUCAUUUGGUAUCUGCUUUCUGAUUUUUUGGGGACAUCAGAAAUCACGUCCCUAUAAGGCGCAUUGCAAGCACAUCUAAUCAUGUGUAAUUUAUGUAAGCUCAUUGAGCAGGGCCCUCCACCUCUCUGUUCCUGUACGUCCAGUUGUCUGGUUAAAAGUUACGUGUCUGUUAGUCCACCCAUUGUACAGCACUACGGAAUCUGAUGGCGCUAUAUAAAUAAUAAAAUAAUAAUUAAAUAAAAUAAUAAUAAUACAUUACACUGGUGUAUAAAUCAAUGUCAGCUGUGUCCAAUUAAUCAAAUUCCUGUUAAUCUGCACCCGGUAAUAAUUAGGGCAUUGAUUAAAAGGAAUUUGAUUUGUUCGGAAAUUAAUUUGUACACACGUCUAUUACACCCGCAGGACAUGCACAAGAGAUUCAAUAGCGCUGUGCCCAUAUGCAACGUUGAGUGGGGCUGGACAAUGUACAACAUCACCCAACCCUGUAUAACAUAUCACUUUUUAAGCUGCUAUUCUGCUCUGUCCCAGAUUGGUGAAUCCAAAUCUACAAAACCACUAUUUUGCAUUUUUACUUCUUAAAAGAAAUAACAAUCCCAAGGUAUCUGUGUAAUCUCCAGAACACACAGCUCUUAAUUAUACUUGUAUUUAUUUAUUUGUUUGUUUAUGACAGACAAUAGCUUCUUAUAAAUUCUGGAUAUUUUAAUAAUUUCAAUAGUUAUAAUUGCAGCAAUUGAUAAAAAAAAAAUUCAGAAUAGAAAACAAACUCUAAAUAAUUAAUUUGGCAGAAUCCAUAUUGCCAUACAUCGUACAUCGCACACAAAUAGCUACACAAAUCAUUGGCGAUGCUGUGAGUUACGUAUACGUAACAGAAGGAUAGCGGAUUCUAUAAUGUUUCUGAAUUCUGAUCAGGUAUAGUGUGUUUAAAAUUAUUAAUAUAAUAACAUUCCCAAUGUGAAGUUGAUGAUUCAUGGUGUACUUUCCAAAGUCACGUCAAUGACUUUCCAAAUAUCUAUCUAUACGAGUUUUAGCAGGCAGGAGGACUUUAAUAAAAAGCCUUAUGAAUUUGCAGGAAUUUUAACGAGAUUUCUGUUUUCAAAUGCAAAUUACUAAUCAGCGUUUCAUUCUAGAAAAAAUAAAAUCAAUACAAACAAACCAGAAUUGUGUGACAUUAUUGUGUAUACAACAUGAAAAUAAUAAUCAGUAAUGGAAAAAAUACUUUUAAAGAUGUAUGUUGUUCAUGCAAACUACACCUUGUGUCAUUAUCAUCAACACACCCAUAUUAUUAUGUGUAUAUUCAUUAGUGCGCUAGUAAUUAUUUGUAUGCACACACAAAUGUGGUCAUUGGAACUUCGGGAUAAUAUGCUAAAUAAGAUUAGCAGUGGAUCUUACUGACCCCGGAUGACACAGUGACUUACUGAUGCAAAUUAAUGCAAUUGUAUAUACUGUAAAUUAUAAAAAGGUGUGUGCCAAGUUUUUAUUAUCGGACAGCUGGAUGUGAACUAACUAUAUUUAAAAAGAAGACCUUAUUUAAAAUGACCUUCAAGGCUGAAGGUAAUUUCCAUUUGUAAAUGCAUUGUAUAGAUAAUUCAACCCAAAACGUUGGUGCGCAAAGCAAACAUAUACGAACUUAAAUAUACUUAUACUUAAGUGUUCUUUUAAAGUUCCUUGUGUUGAGCCGUUAAGACAAAAAUAUAAGAACAUCUAGUGCAGAGCAUCUACACACUUUAAAAACAUAUAAUCAGAUAAACUCUUGGUAUCAAACUCACUGCAUUUGAGUGGAUUGUGCGCAGCUUUCACUGUAAGAACCCUGGAGGAAACAAGCUCCUUGAGUUCGGUGAAUCCACCAGGCAUAAACCGGACCACAGACAGAGACUGCUGGUAUUCGUAAAGCCUUUAUUAUUUCUCAAGCAGAGUUAAAAACAUUUAGAACAAAUCAAAUGUUAAAAUCCUUGGAAGGCUCUCUGUAACUAUUUAGCGUUUCUUCCCCCUCACAGUCUUGUCUCUCCUCACACGCAUGUUAUUAUAGAUAAUGUAUUGUUAAUAUAUAAAAAAAUAUAUAUAAUAGUCAACUUUAAAGUUCCUUUAGCUGAGAGCCCUCCCAGACCAGGAAAUGGCUUCUCCAAUUAGAAAGCUCUCAGUCUGGUCUACAGGGUCUAAUCUUAUCCCAUAAACUUCUGUAAAGAAAUUGGUUUAGGAAUACAUAGUUCAGCCCUUGGCAGUGGUUUCAUGACUCAUAGAUGAUGAGUGGAACUGCUUAAGCUGAUAGCAGCCACACUCAGCUAUACUAUUAGUUUGCUUUGUGCUUGGAGCUGUGUAUAACUUUUACCUGAGCUCCCAGCGAAUUUAACUAAUAAAUAAUAACACAUUCACUAUCACUAGCAUCAAGUGUUGGAAUCAUUUGGUCAAAUUUUGGUCCUGGUCUGGGGAAGUUCCACCCAAUAAAAAUUUUACUUUGACCCUUGCCACCAGAAGGACGUUGUCAGCACACAGUUCAAAAGCCAAAUCAUGUCAAAUCAGAAUUUCUUCUCCUUUGGAAAAAAACCACUGAUAAUUUAUAAAAGUCUGCAAAAGCUAUUUCCUAAGCAAUAUUAUUGAACCACAUGAAUUGGAUCACAAAGGGAUAACCUGUCCAACAUUUGGAAUAAUAGUUAACCUGCCCCAGUUGGGCUUCCCUCUCUAUGACUGGCUCUUUGGCUGAAAUCAACAGUUGCACUCUCUCAACCAAACAGCAUGACAAGGCACUCAGGGGUGGGUUACCAUGGCAACUCUCUGAUUCAUAAUCAAUGUCAGCCAGACGUAUAAAUAGACGUGGUUUGCACCCUACUGGACCACCAGUAGUCAACCUCCCCUGGCCCCCCGUCAUUAGGUAAGCAAAAGGGAGGAGGAAUAAACUUUAGGGUUGUUAGAAUAAUACUAAUUAUUUUAAAAAAUAUAUAAUUAAUGUCGCUAUUUUACCCUCACACACACUACAUCCCUUGUCGCUUCACAAGCAGACACACGGAACAGCCCUCUAUUUCCCAACUAAACGCACAAAGAUUACAAACCCUUUCUACACACACACGACAACAAAAACAACACUCUCCACACUUCACCACAAACAUCUUCAUCCACACACACACACUAACGCAAGCUGCAUCCCAACAAACAUACAAAACCACACAAAGCCCCCCCCCACAGACAUGCAACACCACAAGCAAACCAUACACACACCCUACUAAGGCAGCCGACUCCACAUACGCUACACCAAAAGCAAAUUCUCCCACAACACCACAGGAAGUCUACACACACUACAUCCGCCACAUGAGAGCACACUGGGACAGUGGUAAUACAGGGCCGCCAUCAGGUUGUGACAACCAGUACUCCAUGUGGAUCUCAGGCAAACCCGGACCCUUAAUGACCUCAGGCUUUUCAUUAAUAAACUGCACUAACUGCAGGAUGAAGUGGUUAUGGUGCUUCUAGUACACUACAAGCACCAGAACCACUUCAUCCUGCAGUCAGCGCAGUCCAUUAAGGGAAAGCUCGAGUUCUGCAAUGGCUGCCACAUUUCCCUCUCAUAUAGCAUAGCUAUAAAGAAAUCCAUGAGCACUGGGCAAAGUUAAAAUUUCCUUCAUAAUGGAACUCCUGGUAGAUAAUCUAUCAUUAAUUUAACAUUGACAUUAAAUAUGUGCUACCAGAGAGAUCAGACCCGUGCCAUUGUUCCAAAUGCAUACAGUCAUUGUGUAUAGUCUUGACUAGGUAUUUGUUUAUUGAACUGACCUUUCAUCCUUAUCUUUAUUCCAUCUCUGAAGGCUGAGAACACAGGGCACAAAAGGUGCAAAUCUCUUAUGUCUAAACGCAUCACACAAAAAAAAAGGCUAGAUACAAGCAAAAAUAUAAAUUCAGAAAUAUAUUCAGGGAUUAUUCAAUAUAAUCAUCUACUUAAGUGCUUAUACAAUAUCAACAUUAUUUCAUUUGGAGUAUAAAUAGUUGGUACUAGGUCAUAACAUACCUUCCAAUAUUUCAAGGAAGGACUCAUGAAUUUUAGGAGUAUGAGUGGUGUGUGGCCAGCAGCGGGCUGUUCGGUGGCUUACUGACAAUAACUUAUGCAACCAAAAUGUAAUUACAUGCAAAAACAAUAUUUAUUAAUAUCUUAUUAAUGCAGGUGGAUUUCUAGGCACUUUUUUUUUUCAAAUUGACAAUUUUUAUUGGUUUUUGAUUUUUCAAGAUAGGACAAUUAGGGUACAGAAAAGAAAAAGGGUUGUGGGGUAAAACAUUUGAUACAUGUUUGGUACAUCCAGAUAUGUGGUGCAUGCUACACGUUCUAUGAACACUAUCUGUUAAAUCACUUUGAGAGAUAUUUCAUCUGCUUAUAAGGUGUUGGGCUACUGUAUGUGAUACUAGAGUGAUGUUCUAUCGUCCACUCGUAAUACUCUUCAAUUGCCCACUGUUAGAAUAUCUUAUGCCCUUUGCUUUCUACUCAUUGUCAUCUAUACCCACCUCACUGAUAAUGUUAUUAACAGUGUAUCAGGGUUGAAUAUUAAACACUUAAACACAGUAAGAACUUAAACUUAAACCCAAACAUACUGUAAAGCUAUUAGACCUUCUCAGUAUGUUUGAUGGGUUGUCCAUGCCAGGCUGCGUUUCAUAUUCUGGUUUGUUGUCACCUACCGGUAUUGUACAUUUGGAAGCUGAGACCCUCGCCCCCUCGCUAUCUCCUACCUCUCUAGCGGCUCUCCCACCCUGUGUCUCUGUUGGAUAUUGAUGAAGUCUAGUGGGAUACCUGUGUUUUGGAGAAUUUGGGGUAUGUUGAAUUUGGCCUAUUCUGUAUGCCUGCCAUAGGCGGGAUGCCUCCCUCUGAAUGUUCCCUGCGGAGUAGUGGGUUAGUGAUAUCUCGUAUUCCACAUUAGUGGAGAUCUGAGUCACAAAUUCGGCUUUGGAGAUCAUCUUUGUGGUUUUCCAGUCCCUGCCGCCGUUAAUGUUAAAAAUAUUAAUUUGCAGACUGGUUUGGGGCAAUAAUUUGACAUAAUGAGAAGUAGGACUAAUGAAAGUAUUUAGAAAAUUGGGCAGACUAGAUGGGCCGAAUGGUUCUUAUCUGCCGUCACAUUCUAUGUUUCUGUGGUUUCUAUGUUUCUAGGUAACCUUUGACAGAGGGUGGGAAAUCCGUGCCAGUAUUAUCUUUAAUUACAACUUUUACCUAUUCCAGAAUUGUGCCACUAAUGGGCAUGACCAACAUAUGUGGAGGGUAUUCCCCACUUCUGUUUGGCAUCGCCAACAUUUGUUAUCGCAUAAAUGAUGCAUUUUUGCCACUUUGUCCGGCAUUAAAUACCACCUAUAAAGUAUUUUCCUUGAUAUUUUCAGGUGGGAUGCACAGGAGGACAUUCCCUUAAAAGCUAGAAACACCUGUUCCCAUAAUUUUUGCACUAACACUUCCCCUAUAUCGUUAUGCCACUCUUUAUGGAACGUACACAAGUGAUUUGGACAAGGCGUCGUAAGUGCUGUGUAACAGUACGGGAGAGUUUUCUUUUGUUUGAGUGUAUUUAGGCACAUUUUUUCGAAUGGUGUUAUGGGUUUUUGAUGAUCCAUUAUGUCUGGGUGGGUUAUCUCAACUCUCAGUUUUUGUUGUAGUUGGUGAUAGGAAAAGUUGGCCAAAGCUGGUAGGAGGAACUCUGUUUGCAGGGUUUGGAAACUCUUAAAGGGACUCUCCAGUGCCAGGAAAACAAACCAUUUUCCUGGCACUGCAUGUCCCCUCUCCCUCCCACCCUCCAUCCCAAGUUGCUGAAGACAUCAAAACCUAAUGCGCGGGGGAUACCUAAUGCGCAUGCGCGGCAAUGCUGCGCACGCGCAUUAGACCUCCCCAUAGGAAAGCAUUGGAAAAUGCUUUCAAUGCUUUCCUAUGGGGGUUUCAGCGACGCUGGAGGUCCUCACAUCCAGCGUCGUUAUAACACACUCUUCGUGUUCUAUGAACACGGAAGUGACCUCUAGUGGCUGUCUAGCAGACAGCCAUUAGAGGAGGAGUUAACCCUGCAAGGUAAUUAUUGCAGUUUAUGAAAACUGCAAUAAUUACACUUGCAGGGUUAAGGGUAGUGGGAGUUGGCACCCAGACCACUCCAAUGGGCAGAAGUGGUCUGGGUGCCUAGAGUGUCCCUUUAAUGGUCCCUAAUUCUAAGACUUGGUGUAUAUGCGUUAUCCCAUGGUUCAACCAUGCUUUCAUUGGGGUCACUAGAGACCAUGGAAUAUUCAAACACACCAUAUGUUUAUUUGUGUCCCAUACUGCUAGCAUUAAUUUAGUCGUGGGCAGUAUCGAUUUUGAGCUCUCUUGGUAUCCAUAUGUAGUUUGAUAGGUGCGUGCUCCCCACCUUCUGUGAUUCCAGUUCAACCCAUUGUGGCAUGUAUGAUUUAGUAUGGCAAGUAAGAAUGUUAGCCAAGUGUGUUGCCCUAUAGUAUUCUCUCAGAUUAGAGAAACCCAAUCCUUCAUUGCCUAUCCUAAGGGUCAAAGUCUCCACGGGACUCUAGUUCUCUUGUUAUUCCACCCAAACCUUACCAAGGCCGCCUUAAAGGCUUUAAUGAAUUUUAAUGGUACCUGGAUUUGUAAGGUGCGAAAAAGGUAGAGAAUUUUUGGUAAUAUGACCAUUUUUAUUGCCGCGCACCUUCCCACCCAAGAGAUAAACCUACCCCCCAUUUCCUUAGUGUCACUUCUAUAUCCUGUUGGAGUUUGUGGUAGUUCAUUUUAAAUAAUGAGUGUGGGGAUUUCAUAAGUCUGAUACCUAAAAAUGUAAGAUAGUCCUGCCUCCAGUCAAAAUUAAAGGCUUGUUUGAGCCGUUGAGUUUUUGUCAUAUUGAGUUUAUAGUAUGAUUGAGCACUGUAACUGUGCAGUUCAUGUUGUAAGUUUGGUAGGGAUAUUAAAGGUUGUGAGAGGGUUAGUAGGACGUCAUCUGCAAACAAGUUUAAUUUGUAUUCCCUAUAUCCCACAUGAAUGCCGUGUAUGCUCGUAUUACGUCUAAUCUUUUCAACUAGAGGUUCUAGUGCUAGAACAUAGAGUGGUGACAGGGGGAACCCUUGCCUGGUUCCAUUUGUUAUUUGAAAAGGGUCCGAUUGGAAACCCGAUAUCUCUAAACACGUUUUUGUACAGCAUUAGUAUAUUGUAUACACUCAGACACACAACAUGGAGCUUGUAGAAAACAGGGAAAUUAGAAUAGAAAAGAGGAACAGAGGGAUUUGGGGACAAAAUAGGGAAUAUCCUCCAAAACACGGACACCUGGGAGGUAUGUAACAACCUGUCGUUACAAGUAAAUUACACAUUUUAGGCCAAAAUUGCAGAAUUGUCAGCUUUGUUUCAGUUUUGCUACCAUUUAUCAUCUAUAUCCCUUCUCUGCUCAAAGCUAUGGUAGCCUUUCCUAUUUGGUCAGUGUAAUGAGGCCUUAUUUGGAGUUUGAGAUGGAAUUCCUAACUGUUUUUGUUGGGGAUAUUCUCUUGUUAUGCUGGAUUUUACUGUUCCAAGUUGAAAUAACUAAUCUAUCCAAAGUUAUACAUACAUACCAGGCCCGGACUGGCCAUUGGGCAUACCGGGCAAAUGCCCGGUGGGCUGUGGUGGCCAUGGGCCGAAGCCGGCAGUGGAGGUCACAGGAUCUCCCCAGCCAUUCCAUGCAGGGCCCGCGCUAUCUGAGCGCCAGCCCCCCGCUGUGUUCCAUGACAGGCCAGUGGGGAGAUCAAAGAUCACCCUCACCGUCCCACAUGCAGUGUGAUGCAGCUGCCGGCUGGGGAGGGAUGGAGACAGGAGAGGACCCAGAAGAGUUUGCAGUUCCGUCUGGUUCCUCUUGCCAUGGCAACACUCUGGGUCUGGCAAUAGUGAACUCUAGGCCCACAGGCUAGAGUUCCCUCACCACUAGGACCACCUGGAAUGGCAGCACGGUGCCCCCUCCGAGGCUAAAGGUAAGAAGGGAGGGGGGAUAUAAUGCUUGGUUUUUUUGUUUUGUUUUUAUUAUCCCCCAACACAUAAUCCCUCUAAAAACACACACACACCCUCACAAACACAUCACCCUACCACACACAGCACCCUCACACUCACAAACACACACACACAGCACCCUUACUCACACACACAGCACCAUCACACACACACACACUGCACACCUCACACACAUACUGCACACCUCACACACAACACCCUCACACACACACUGCACAAUUCACACACAGAACCCUCACACACACUGCACACCUCACACACACAGCACCCUCAUACACAUACUGCACCCACCAACACACAGCACACACACAGCAUCCUCACACACACUGCACCCCUCACACACUAUACUCCUCACAAAUACACACUACACCCUUCACACACACACUGCACACCUCACACAUACACACAGCAGCCCCCAAACACACUGCACAACUCACGCACACACACACACAAUACUUCCAAACAUAUAUGUAUAUAUGCUACAGAACCCCUCACACACAUACUGCACCCCUAAACACAUUACAUUCCAGACACACACUAGAUCCCUUACCCAGCUCUGGAUCAUAUACACAUAUACACACACUGGAUCCCUAUAUACACUCUAAAUCUUCUACACACACACUCACUAGAUCUCCUAUACACAGUGUGGGUCCUUCAAACACCAACUAGAUCCCCUACACUACACACACACACUGCACCACCUACACUACACACUCUGGAUCCCCUAUGCACACACUAGAUUCAAGGGGUCCAUUGGGUGGCCCAUGCUGUUAGGGCCACCCGAUGGAUAUGGAUUUUCAGGAGGCCCGGUCAGCGCUGCGGCGCCUUAACAGCGCGACCGGACCCCCUGUGAUGACAUCACAUGCUGGGAGGAAGUGACUGCCCAUCACUCCUCCCAGCAAUCACACAGCCUGCGCAGGAGGAAGCAGAGGAGGGAGUCAGAGUGGGAACUCUGACUCCCAUCAACCUGAGCCACCACUAGACCCCAGGGAAAGUCACCCUCCUGCACAUAAAAGGUAGGAAACAGGAGGGUGACUUAAACAUUUUAUAUAUGUGUGUUUCUGUGUAUGUGUGUAUAUGUAUGUAUGUGUGCCUGUCUGUUUGUAUGUAUGUAUGUGUCUUUGUAUGUAUGUAUGUAUGUAUGUAUGUGUGUCUUGUGUGUAUGUGUCUGUCUGUAUGUAUGUGUCUGUGUGUCUGUAUGUGUGUAUGUGUCUGUAUGUGUGUAUGUGUCUGUGUGUGUCUGUAUGUAUGUGUCUGUGUGUGUUUGUCUGUCUGUAUGUGUGCCUGUCUGUUUGUAUGUAUGUAUGUGUCUUUGUAUGUAUGUGUGUCUUGUGUGUGGCUGUCUGUCUGUAUUUGUGUGUGUGUGUGGCUGUCUGUCUGUAUGUAUGUUUCUGUCUGUGUGUAUGUACGUACGUGUGCCUGUCUGUUUGUAUGUAUGUGUCCUUCUCUGUAUGUGUGUUUUGUGUGUGUGUGUGUCUGUGUGUAUGUGUGUCUGUGUCUGUGAGUGUGUUGGUCUGUAUGUAUGUGUCUAUGUGUAUGUGUCUGUAUGUAUCUGUCUUUAUGUGUCUAUGUGUGUGUGUGUGUGUGUCUCUAUGUAUGUAUGUAUGUAUGUAUGUGUCUGUAUGUGUGUAUGUGUCUCUGUGUAUCUGUAUGUAUGUGUGUCUGUUGGGGGAGGAGAGGGAGGGAUGGAGGGGGGCAUGGAUCAGUUUCGCACCAGGGCCCCAUGCAUUGUGUGUACGACACUGUCUCUGGUCCUUAGAAUAGUCAGGAUUAUGGUAAAAGAACUCCAGAAAUAUAAGAAAUCAAAGGUUGAUCAAAACCAUAUAUAACAAGUGUAGGCACACUGAAAACAGAGAUGGGUCUGUUAGUUAAUGAAGACCAGGAAAAGGCAGACAUUUUAAAUAACUAUUUUUCUUCAGUAUAUAAUAAUGAAGAUCCUAUGGUAAGAGAUAAGCAAAUGAUUGCUGCAACAAACUUGCAGAUAACUUGUGAUUGGAUAACUCGAGAAAAGGUGCUACAGCUAUUAAAGAAAAUUAAUGUAAAUAAAACUCUGGGGCCUGACGGUAUCCACCCAUGAGUACUUAAGGAGCUAAGUGGGGAAAUAAGUGAACCUCUGCAUUUAAUUUUUCAAGAUUCUUUUGUUUCAGGUCUUGUACUGGAGGAUUGGAGGAAGGCAGAUGUUGUUCCUAUAUUUAAAAAGGGUACAAAAUCCUUGCCUGGAAAUUAUAGACCUGUGAGCUUAAAGGACCACUAUAGUGCCAGGAAAACAUACUAGUUUUCCUGGAACUAUAGUGCCCUGAGGGUGCCCCCACCCUCAGGGACCCUCUUCCGCCGGGCUUGAUGGCAAGGAAAGGGGUUAAACUUACCUUUUUUCCAGCGCAGGGCGGGGAGCUCUCCUCCUCCUCUCCGCCUCCGAUCCUCCUCUUCGGUUGAAUGCGCAUGAUUUGCACAGUGAGAAGCACGCAAACGCCUCUAGCGGCUGUCAAUGAGACAGCCACUAGAGGCUUUAGAGGCUGGAUUAACCCAUUUAUAAACAUAGCAGUUUCUCUGAAACUGCUAUGUUUAUAAAAAAAAGGAGUUAAUCCUAGAGGGACUAGCACCCAGACCACUUCAUUAAGCUAUUAGGGAUAAUAUUCAGGAAUUCAUUGGGAAGAACUUUGUUAUUAGCAAUAAUCAGCAUGGUUUUAUGAAACAUAGGUCAUGUCAAACUAACCUAAUUGCAUUCUACGAAGAAGUAAGUAGAAGUAUAGAUCAGGGUGUUGCAGUGGAUGUGAUCUACUUGGAUUUUGCCAAGGCAUUUGAUAUGGUUCCUCACAAUAGGUUAGUCUUCAAACUAAAAGAAAUUGGUCUAGAUGAAUAUUCUUGUUCUUGGGUAGAACAUUGGCUUAAGGAUAGAGUACAACGAGUUGUCAUUAAUGGUAAAUUUUCAAGUUGGACAAAAGUGGUAAGUGGUGUCCCUCAGGGUUCUGUUUUGGGACCGCUUCUAUUCAACAUAUUUAUAAAUGAUCUUGAAAUAGGCAUUGAAAGCCAUGCAUCAGUGUUUGCGGAUGACACAAAACUUUGUAAAGUAAUAAAAUGUGAACAGGACAUUGCCUUGCUGCAGAGGGAUUUGGAAAGAUUGGGGGACUGGGCACUAAAAUGGCAGAUUAAAUUUAACGUAGAAAAAUGCAAAGUUAUGCACUUUUGGGUUAAGAAUGCACAAGCAAUUUACACCCUAAAUGGUAGUGAAAUAGGGAUAACCACACAAAAAGUAUUUGGGAAUUGUUAUAGACAACACAUUAGGCAGCAAUAUGCAAUGUCAAUCUGCCGUUGCUAAGGCCAGUAAGGUUUUGUCAUGUAUAAUUAGGGGCAUAAAUUCUUGAGAUGAAAAUAUAAUUUUGCCUCUUUAUAAAUUGCUGGUAAGACCACACCUUGAAUAUGCUGUGCAAUUUUGGGUACCUGUUCUAAAGAAAGAUAUCAUGGCACUAGAAAAAGUGCAGAGACGAGCUACAAAAUUGAUAAAAGGAAUGGAGCAUUUUAGUUAUGAAGAAAGGUUAAAAAAUGUAAAUCUCUUUAGUUUGGAAAAACGACGCCUGAGAGGGGAUAUGAUAACAUUAUACAAAUAUAUUCGGGGCCAGUACAAACCAUUAUCUGGAAAUCUAUUCAUAAACAGGGCUAUACAUAGAACACAAGGUCACACAUUUAGGCUGGAAGAAAGGAGAUAUCAUCUAAGGCAAAGAAAAGGUUUUUUUUUACAGUAAGAGCAAUAAGGAUAUGGAAUUCUUUGCCUGAAGAGGUGGUUUUGUCAGAGUCUAUACAGAUGUUUAAACUGCAAUUGGAUAAAUACUUGCAAAAACAUAACAUACAGGGAUAUAAUUUCUAAUUAGUGGGGUAGUAGCUGCUUGACCCAAGGAGACAUCUGACUGCUAUUUUGGGGUCAAGAAGGAAAUUUUGGAAGCGCUCAGACUGGGUUUUUUGCCUUCUUUUAGAUCAACAGUAAAAACAUAUGUGAGGAAGGCUGAACUUGAUGGAGGCAAGUCUCUUUUCAGCUAUGUAACUAUGUAACCAGGGCUCGAGUCCUGCAGGAACGCAUGGGAACGGCGUUCCCGCACUUUUUCCAAAGCAGGAACGCCGUUCCCGUUACCUGUCCUGCAGGACCGGCCCUGCUACCUGCACAGAGGGGCCAGCACACGCUGUGUUCCUUCUCCAGCUAUAACUCUCGCGAGACCCGCGGCUGUUACCAUGGCAACACUCCGCACAGGCGAGUCUCGCGAGAGUGAGAGCUGGAGAACGAACACAGCCUGUGAUGGCCCCUCUGUGCAGCGGCUGCCUCCCUCCAACAUACCACCGGACCACCAGGCGAUCUCCCCCCUCCCUGACAAGGUAAGAAGCAGGGAGGGGGGAAUAAAAUAAAAAAAUAUAAACACAAAGUAAGAAAAAAAUGCUUUCCCCCCCACAUCAUCCAGCACACACACACCCAUCAUCCAGCACACACACACCCAUCAUCCAGCACACACACACCCAUCAUCCAGCACUCACUCACACACACAUCAUCCAGCACUCACUCACACACACAUCAUCCAGCACACACACACCCAUCAUCCAGCAUCCAGCACUCACACACCCAUCAUCCAGCACUCACACACACCCAUCAUCCCAGCACUCACACACCCAUCAUCCAGCACUCACACACCCAUCAUCCAGCACACACACACACAUCAUCCAGCACUCACACACACAUCAUCCAGCACUCACUCACACACAUCAUCCAGCACUCACACACACAUCAUCCAGCACUCACUCACACACAUCAUCCAGCACUCACUCACACAUCCAUCAUCCAGCACUCACUCACACACCCAUCAUCCAUCACUCACACACCCAUCAUCCAUCACUCACACACCCAUCAUCCAUCACUCACACACCCAUCAUCCAGCACACACACACCCAUCAUCCAGCACACACACACCCAUCAUCCAGCACACACACACAUCAUCCAGCACACACACCCACAUCAUCCAGCACUCACACACACAUCAUCCAGCACACACGCACACACACACAUCAUCCAGCACUCACACACACGUCAUCCAGCGCGCGCACACACUGCAUUCAUUAUACACACUCUUCACUCACUACAAGCACACUACAUUCACUAUACACUCACUACAAACACACUACACUCACUAUACACCCUCUGCAUUCACUAUACACAUUCUGCACUCACUACACACUACAUUCACUAUGCACACUCUGCAUUCCCUACAAACACACUACAUACACUGCAUUCAUUGUACACACUCUGCACUCACUACAAACACACUACAUUCAUUAUACACUCUGCACUCACUACAAACACACAUUCACUAUACACACUCUGCAUUCAUUAUACACACUCUGCACUCACUACAAAAACACUACAUUCACUAUACACACUGCACUCACUAGAAACACACUACAUUUAUUAUACACACUGCACUCACUACAAAUACACUACAUUUAUUAUACACACUGCACUCACUUCAAAUACACUACAUUCAUUAUACACACUCUGCACUCACUAAAAACACACUGCAUUCAUUAUACACACUCUGCACUCACUACAAAUACACUACAAUUAUUAUUCACACAGCACUCACUACAAACACACUACAUUUAUUAUUCAUACUCUGCAUUCACUACAAACACACUACAUUCAUUAUACACACACUGCACUGCACUAUAUGCAUAGGAGUGUAUUUUUUUUUUUUUUAAGGGGGGGGGGGUUGGAAGCGGGAAUCUUGGGUGAGUUCCCACACUUUUUUCCCCAGGACUUGACCCCUGUAUGUAACUAUGUAACUUGCUAAAAUACAGAAUGCAUCACAUGCUGAUAUACAAAAUACAUGAUCCUAUACAAUAAACCACAAAAGGACAACCAUAAUGUGGUGAGGUGAGUAUAUAUAUAUUCAUAUUGAAUGAUAUACCCUGGGUCAGAACAUGUAGAUGUGCUGAUACUAGAGUGAGGCCCGAGAUCGUAGGGCGGACAGGCCGGCAGAACUAGCACAUAUCAUGACUUCUCACAAUGUUUUUAUCACAGUAAGCACCAUCUACCUACCUAACUUGUUGAAGGCAGAAGGGCCUUUGCCAACAUUCACAAUGGACGCAAUUAGCACUGCAUGUUUUGUAUGUCAAAAGUGUGUUCCAUAUUACUAUUUUUUUCCAGUUGGCUAUUGUCAUCUACACACUUAUACUAUUGAAACACCUGGUCAGAAGUUAUUUUGUGGUUAGAUAUAUGAAGUAUCUGUAUUAAGCUACUUGUUAAAGAAAAUAAAAGACAAAACUCACAAAUUACAUUGGGCAGACUAUAUUUACAUUUACCCUCAUUUUACAUUCACUGUUCAUAUUGGUAUGACUAAUGCUAUAUGUAAACCAAAAACAAUACGGUUAUCCAGCACCAAGGUGUGCCCCGAUGUAAAAUGAUCAGGGUUUGGUGACCUCAGCAUAAUCUUGCAUCUCCUAAUGUAGCGUUUUUAAAUCUGGCACACUCAUUAAUUCUUCUAGUUUUCAUAAACCACAUUACAAUCAGUUAAACCCCAAACACAUCUACGUGACCUACUUUGCAUCUCAAAGUAUCCACAACAUCACCAAGAAAAAAACUAAAAAGGGCAGGUCCUAGGACUAUUCCACUGCCUGCAGUUCAUCUUAUGAAAAUAAAUCUGAAAAAUUUCCACUUCUCUACACAGCCUUAAAGGAUCACUAUAGGGUCAGGAACACAAACAUGUAUUCCUGACCCUAUAGUGUUAAAACUACCAUCUAGCCCCCCUUGGCCCCUCUGGCCUCCAUAAAUAUAGCAAAAUCUUACUGUAUUCAAGCCUGAAGCUGUAACUCUGCAUUGUGUUAGACUCAGAAAAACAAGCUGUCUGCUGACAUCAGUAGAAGUGGUAGCCUGAUCCAAUCACAAUGCUUCCCCAUAGGAUUGGCUGAGAAUGACAAACAGGCAGAGCCAGCAUGAUUCAAACACAGCCCUGGCCAAUCAGCAUCUCCUCAUAGAGAUGAAUCGAAUCAAUGAAUCUCUAUGAGGAAAGUUCAGUAUCUGCAUGCAGAGGGAGGAGAUACUGAAUGUGUGGAUGCAUUUUAGGCAGCCAUGACCCAGGAAGGAUCUCUAACAGCUAUCUGAGGAGGGACCAGUGAAGUUAUAACUAGGCUGUAAUGUAAACACUGCAUUUUCUCUGAAAAGACCGUGUUUAUAGCAAAAAGCCUGAAGGUAAUGAUUCUACUCACCGGAACAAAUUCAAUAAGCUGUAGUUGUUCUGGUGACUAUAGUGUCCCUUUAAAGGGACACUAUAGUCAACAGAAGAACUUCAGCUUAAUGUAGUUUAUGAUCUUUAUGAUCUUUAUACAAAAUAUCUUGAUAACUAUGUUGUCUACUGAGAUACAAUUAGUACCAAAAUUGUCAAAUUAGAUCUAAUGGCUUCCACUGGGCAAUAGCUUGACUUGAGCUAUUGUGAGUGCAAAAUGUCCUUUACCAUAUAAAUAAGCUAUCUAUUUUAAGCAUAUCUCUCCAAACACUGUAUUAUUUAAAGUAUUAUUUUAUAAAUGGACCCAUGAACAAAGAGUCUAUUGACAUUACACAAGCUUAAAUCCAGUGUGUUUGUUUAUGGUUGGUCCACAAUAGGAUUCCAUGAGUGAUGUAAGAUUUAUUUCACUGUAUGAAGACUUAUUUGGUAAACAGUAGCAAUAUAUCACCAAAUAUACUUUGUUUCCAUGCACCCCCAUUCUAAAAUUAGGUUAAAAUAUAGAUUUCACUUUGUGUUUAAUAAUGUUUCACCUUACCAAUAAUCUAUAGAAAUUGAUACUAGUGUCAUAAAAAUAUUAUACAUUUUUAUUUUUCAGUUAGAAAAUGUUCUACUGGACACUGAAACUAUGUUUUAAAAAAAAGGUUAUAAUUGUUUCCAGAAGGAUCAGGAACUAAAUAAAGUAAAAUAAAGAGCACUCGGCAAAGUACGUCAUUCGUGUUUUGGUAUUUCGUACGGGAUAUUAACAUAUAAAAAAAAACAAAAAAAAACAUGCAAGUCAUUCAUCUGCAUAUCAUAUGUAUACAGGUGAUUUUAAAAUAUCAACACAGAAUAUAACAGACAAGACAUCCUGGCAACAAAUAUUAGGGAGAAGCAGAACUAUAUCAUUAUCACAUUCUAAAAAAAAUAAGAAACUGGUUUUGAGCAGAAGGCAGAAUACCACAUAUAAAAUCAAGCAGAAAAAAACCUUGAAACUUUAUUGUUAUAUACAUACAGUCAUGGGAAAAUGGAAGUACAACCUCUUUGAAUUCUAUUGUGUUACAUAUUGAGACAUAAUAACAAUCAUCUGUUCCUUAGCAGGUAAAUACAACCUCAGGUGAACAGCAGCCCAUCACAUAUUACACCUUAUCAUGAUUUACUUGACAAAAAUAAAGCCAAAAUGGAGAAACCAUGUGUGAAAAACUAAGUACACUCGUACUGCUUUCAUAGGAAUUAAGAGCCUGACUGCAGUCAGGUGCUUCUAAUUAAAUGCCCUUGAUUAAUUGAUCAUCAGCAAGUGUGGCAACCUCUAUAGUUUUAGUGGUUUGCUGGUCUGGAGCAUUUGUGUAUGUGUUAACACAAUGCCAAGGAGGAAAGGCAUCAGCAAUGAUCUUAGAGAAGCAAUUGUUGAAGUCAUUUCCAAACAUUUUAUAGUCCAUCAUUUUGCAGUGAGGAAUAUUAUUCAAAGUAUGCAAAUUCACCACCUGAUCACCUGUCAUCUGAUAAGGUGAGACCGUGCAGUGCUUAAAGAAAUUGUAAAAGAGCUACUUUUUACACUCAACAGACCUAAGUUAGCAUGUUAAAUGUUAAAUUCCAACGACAAAACAAGUAGAAAAAGAUUAAACAAGUAUGGUUUGUUUGGAAGGGUUGCCAGGAAAAAUCCUCUCCUCUCUAAGAAGUACAUGGCAGCAGGGCUUAGGUUUGCAAAGUUGGAUUUGAACUAACCACAAGACUUCUAGAACAAUAUCCUUUGGACAGCUGAGAUCAAAGUAGAAAUGUUUGGCCACAAUACACAGCACCAUGUUUGGCAUUAGCCAAACACAGUAUCAGCACAAAUACCUCAUACCGACGGUCAAUCAUUAUGAUGGAGGGGUGGUGGUUUCUGCUUGUUUUGCAGCCACAUGACCUGGGAACCUUGCAGUCACUGAAUUGACCAUGAACUCCUCAGUAUACCAAAGUAUUCUAGAGUCAAAUAUGAGGUCAUCUAUCUCAAGCACACCAGCACAUCUACAACAGAAUGGAUGAAAAAGAAAAGAAGCAAUGUGUUGUAAUAGCCAGUCAAAGUCCAGACCUCAGCCCAAUGGAAAUGCUGUCACAGGACCUUCAGAGAGCUGCGUAUAAACAAAUGCCAGCAAACCUCAAUGAACUGAAGCAACGUUGUAACUAAGAGUGCGCCAAAAUUCUUCCACAACGAUGUGAGAGACUGAUAAGGUCAUACAGAAAACAAUUACUUCAAGUCAGGGCCGUCUAUAAUAUGAUUAGGACCCUGGGCAAUGCAUUUUCUUGGGCCCCAUGGGCCCUGUCCCUGCCACUGCCUCACCCCCCAAUUACGUCCAACCCGCAAUCACACUGACAGACGUACUGGCACAUACACACACAGACAGACAUUAAAACAUUCACAGAUACAUACUGACACACAAAGUCACUACACACAAAUAUAUACUGGCAGACAUACUGACACACACACAGACAUACAUACAUACACAGACACAUACAUUAACAGAUAUACUGACACACACACAAACACAUACACUGACAGAUAUACUAAAACACAGACACAUACACUGACAGACACAUUGACACACACACACACAGGCAUACUGACAUAUACACACAGGCAUACUGACAUAUACACAGACAGACGUAAUGGCUGAUACAGACAGACAUUAAACAUUCACAGAUAUAUACUGACACACACAUACACAGACAUACAAAUAUAUCCUGGCAGACAUACUGACACACACAGACACAGACAUACAUACAUACAUACACACACAGACACAUACACUGACAGACAUACUGACUGACACACACAUACACACACAUACUUACAUACACACACAGACAUACUGACACACAAAGACAUGCUGACACCCACACACAGACAUACUGACAUACACACAGACAGACUGGCACAUACACACAGACAGACAUUAAAACAUUCACAGAUACAUACUGACACACACAUACACUGACACACAAAUAUAUCCUGGCAGACAUACUGACACACACGUACACACACACACAGACAUACUGGCAUACACGCAGACAUACUGACACACACACACGGACAUACACACACAGACAUACUCGCAUACACACACACACAGACAUACUGGCAUACACACACAGACAUACUGGCAUACACACACACACAUACUGACACACACACACACACACACACACAGACAUACUGGCAUACACACAGACAUACUGGCAUACACACAGACAUACUGGCAUACACACACAGGCAUACACACACAGACAUACUGACACACACACACACAGACAUACUGGCAUACACACAGACAUACUGGCAUACACACACAGACAUACUGACACACACACACACACACACACACACACUGACACACACACACAGACCUACUGACAUACAUUUAGCCACCCUCCAGGUUCUUACCUUUUCCUGGAGGGUGGUUUCCCUGGUCCAGUGGCAGGCUGAGGCAGAUGGGAGUUCUCCUCUGGAACUCCCCUCCUCCCUGCCUUCCUCCUCCCGCGCGGCCAUUAUCUCCGGUGGGAGGAAGUGACGUCACUUCCUCCCAGCCGGCUGCAGAACCGGAAGAGGGGCCCGGUCGCGCUGUUUAAGCGCCACAGCGCCCGACCGGGCCCCUGCUGACACAUGCUCCCCGGGUGGCCCUUAGUGCAUGGGCCACCCGGGGAGCCUCCUCAGUGUGCGGGAGCCGCACCGCCCGGUCCAUAGGGGCUGCACAAAUCGCGGGGCCCACAGAGCAGCUGCUCUGGGCCCCCAGGAGCAACUGGGCCCGGGGCAGCUGCCCCGUUUGCCCCGCGUUAAAGACGGCCCUGCUUCAAGUUAUUGCUGUUAAAGGUGGUAUUACAAACUAUUGAAUCAUAAUGUGCACUUCACACAGGGCUUCACCAUUUUGGCUUUAUUUUUGUUAAAUAAAUCAUGACACAGUGUAAUAUGGCAUGUGUUGUUGUUAACCCGAGGUUGUAUUUCCCUAAUUUUCAAACCUGCUAAGGAACAGAUGUAAAACCAUAGAAUUCAUAGAGGGUGUAAUUUGUUUUUUUCUAAUACUGUAAAUACAUAUAAACUGAUCAGCCACAACAUUAAAACCACUUGCCUUAUAUCAUCAACAGUUGUGAUAUAUUGCGGUCUUUUACGAUUUCAUUCAAAAAGGAAUUUUUAUUGCAUUUUGUUAAUAUCCAAUUUGAUGAUUAAGAUCAAAAGAGAGCAGAAAAUAUAUACUGUUGGUGAGCUUUGUCAUUUUGGUGUUAUAGACAUAGGUGACAGGUGAAUUUCAGUAUUUUUUUCUAAAUAUAAACUAGUUCAACUAACAACUUUUUAAUGGAUGAAGACUUGUUUUGUAUAGGUAUGGUUUUUGACCCUAUACAAUCAGAGAUGUGAUAAUUAAGACCAUGUCUAAAAAAAAAAGCCUCAAUUUAUAUUUACACCUCAACAGUCAAUACUCAUUUUAUCAUGUUUAUUGGAGAACAAUUGUACUUGUGGCUCUAUCCAGAGGGCAAAUAGCAGCAGGGUGAUUGGGCAUCCUUGAUGGGUACCAAUUAGGUUUAAGAAAGUGGGAAAUAUUACUUCUAUUGUUGUCGCUGAUGAGCACAGAGUUUGGUAUAGGGCCUGAAGGCAUCUUAAUGUUAACCCUAUCAAAAACAAGAGUUGUAGACUGAGCCCUUGGGUGAUCCAUAAGGUUAAGUUUUCUCUGGAUGUUAUAUGGUGCACCUUUUGGUAACAUGGUGCAGCAAUAUACAAAAAAUGUUACACACAUCAUGUUUUUUUGGGGGGGGGGGGUUCGUGUGGAUUCGUACAUCAAUGCCUGUAUUGUCACAACAGCAGUAACAAGCGCAGUCAUAGUCAACAUUAUAAAACAUAGGUAUGGCAUGAGUAAGCUUGGCACAUUUUUUGUUAUUUAGUAAUUCAGGAUGUAGCAUAAUGUGAAGAACAACAUGAAACAGUUCGUACAAGCACAUGUUUGGGGGAAAGCUAUACGUUUGGUUUGAGAGUGUGAUAUUCGCAUGAGCCAAUGCUUGUGUAAGGAACUAUCUCUCAGAGCAGAGAAGCGGGUGCGUGGGCUUGCGAUGCGUGAGUGUGAGGUAUGCAAUGCAUAGGUAUGAUUGAAAUUUAACUUAGAGUGAUACCCCCCCUUUGAGCUUACAGUGAUACCCCCUCAGUCAAAUAAGAUCAUUAGAUUCAUUGUAGCUAAAACUAAACACUAAACACUAAACACAUGUGAGUGUAUAACUUAAGUCCAUAGAGGUAUGAAGCAAUGGGCACUGUGCCUGCUGUAUAGUCCCAGUCCUGAUUCUCAGGACAGCCAAUGCCCUGCACGUGCUGAGGGUAUCCGCGCUUUGCUGGUCGGUACUUCCCACUAGGUAACCCAGGAGUAAUGAUGCAUAGGGUCCCUGUUCCGUGAGGUUGUGAGCUUGGAGGGGUAUAUAGAGGCCUCUUUGCGAUUCCCGAUGCUCGGUGUGCCCCAUGACCUAGUCGCAGGCUGCCACAGCUCUGGGAUGGCCCCUCCGAUGUUGUCUUGUUAUUAGGUUUCUUGCCCUUUCUUUCAUCAGUCAUUUUGGGCUAGUUAUGCCCCACCGGGUCAUGUGCCGUGUCUCAGCCCGCAGUUGAGGUGGCCAUAGGCGAUGUCUGUUGGGCGCUCCCAUGGCUCCGGGCACCAACCCCGGUCUGCUGCUGCUCUCGGUAAGGCUCCAUGAGUGUGGCCCCCAAAUGGUUCCGUGCUGGUGGUGGCGCGUAUAGUUAGGGGGGGUUAUUGCUUUCCUCUGCUUGUCUACACGUGUUGGGCUCUGUGGUAGGUAAUAGGGCAGAGACUCUGGCUCCGGAGGUCGCAUGUGAGCCUCCAAUUCCUUCCAAAAGGAGGUGAAAAUUCUGUUCAACCGGAGCUCCGUUUCCAGCCUUGCACUACAUGAGUCUUUGGUGCGGGAGGCAUCCGCCAUUUUGUAAGCCUCAUUGGUUGUAAGCUCGGGACUCCAUGUCACUGUCGUGUUCUCACUGCUUUGCAGGUUGAUUGUGUGAGGGUGGACCGGGAUGACCCCCACCGGUCCAGAGGGGAGGGAACGAAGGCCCAGGUUUAGAUUCUUGGCUAGUCGCGGCAGCGGGAAAGCGGCCGUCGCUCCCGCGCCUGCCAUGCUUGUAGGCUUCACCAGAGUUCCGGGUGAAAACUGCAUGGACUGUCGCUUGGGUUGUAUCAUCUUGUUCACCUCAAUGUCCUCUCUCGCUUGGUGGCCUUACUAUGUCGGAUAAUCGCCGUUUUAUUAGCAAGAUCCUGUUUUAUUUACUUCGUUCAGCAGGAGCUGCUGAGGUUAGCGUCCUUACGGCUCUGUGGUCAGGCCCCGCCCCACACAUCAUGUUUUAAGCAUAUAUUUUCUUGUUUUGCUAUAAAAACUCAGUAGUAAGUCUAUAAAUCAUCAUGUCUAAAUCACAUGGGUUUUAUAAUGGCCAUUAUAGAAAAAAUUUACAACAAAUUUCUAAAGAAGAAAUAAAAAAUAAAAGUAUAUUACCCAGUUUAAUUUUAAAUCACGUCUUCGGUUGGUUGUGUCUUUAAAAUCUCCUGCAUAGUGUACUAAAUUCUUGACAAAAUUGGCAAGUAUUGUUAUUACAGUGAAAAACGCAAACAGAUGAAUUGAAGACACAUUUCUAAAAUACACAUGUGUUGAGUAGGUGUGGAUUAUACACUCAAGAAACGUACGCAUAUACAUGCUUACGAUUUAGUUCAAUGGAAUCAACUUGUAAUCUGUCAUCUGAUAUGCAUUAUCUUUAACAAAAAUAUGCAGAGCUUCGGUAUUGUAUUUCUAAAUCAAUGAACACCCAGUGGAUGGAAUAACUCUGUAACAAGCAGGAAAUGACAGAAUGUUUCUAGUGAAUAAGAAAAAGUAAUACAAUUAUUUUGAUCAAGACUGGAAGAAUUUUCAUGAAAUCUUUGUAAAGUAUUUAUAUUCAAGAAAAUGGAAUUGACGUGACACACAUUUAUAAUAAAGCCAUAGUAUAGGCAUAAAAAUUAUAGAAAUCUUGAGUAAAUAUUAGUUUGUGAAAUAGCAUCUUAUAGAAGGUAGAAAGAUAUGUUUCAGAACAAAGAAAGAAAACAAGAGAAAUAAAUACAAAUGUGACUUUACAUCUUAGUUUAAGAAUUUUUCCAAAUUCCAUACAUAUUCCAUUUCUGUUGGCGAUGUAGCCAUGCAGAGGGCUCCUACACCCAUAUUUGGUGGAACUGUUAGAAGUUAAAGCGGCACUGUCAUGCCGAAUCCUGUUUUUUUUAACCCCCCUCUGGCCUCUACUAUCUCUAAUUGACCCCCUAGUCACCCCCAAAUGCCCCUAAGCCCCCCACAUUACCUAUUAUGUGUUCCUUAUUUUCUGCCCCGAUCUAUAUCCAGGGCGCCACCAUCUUUGUGUGGGUAGAUGAAGUCCCUGCGGGACACGUCAUCGGCCCACACUAGACAGACUGUGAGAUUCCCGCACAUGCCCAGUGAAAUACCUGGACAUGCGAACGGGAAUUUCAUCUAUUCAUUCAUUCAUCAGACAGACGAAUGAGUGAAUAGAAAUAUCAGCCGAACAAACAUACACUGAAUAUCUGAGUAUUAGUGUUUGUUUGUUCGUUGAGUUUAUUACAAGGAGGGAGCUAGCGGCGUGCAGCUCCCUCCUUGUAAUACGUAAAGAUAGAAGCGGCAGGGAGCUGUGCUCCCCACCACUUCAUAAGCCCCCCCAGAUCCCCCCUCACUCUCUGGGGGUCAAUAUGACCCCCAUAAUAGCAUAAGGGAGAUUAAAAUCUCCCCAAUGCCCCUACUCGCUAUACCGUGUCCACUAAACAGUGAGCAGCCUGUGGCUGCUCACUGUAAAAAAACAAAAAAAAACUAUUGGCCCCCACCCCUAAACAACGGGUGGGGGCCCUAAAGUAAAAUAAGGAGGGAGACCUAAUGUCCCCCCCCCGGCCCCCACCCCUGGGCGGCGGGUGGGGGCCCUAAGUCAAUUCCCCCCCCCCAAGGUGACUAGGUGUCCCCAAGCCCCUAGUCACCCCCUCCACCCAAAUAAAAAGUCCCUACCUACCCCCCUCACCCUAAAAAAUAGGGGGGAGUAAAAUAAAAUUAAACUUACCAUUCGAUGUCUUCUUUUUUCUCAAAUCUUCAUUUGUCAGCCCCAAAAAAGGCCAAAUAAAAAACCAUCAUAACCGUCGAAUUUAAAUAAAUAAAAAUCCCGAGCGCAAAAAAAAAAAAAACAGACGAAAAAGAAAAAACCAGAGCGCAAAAAAAUAAUCCAUCUUCACCCAUGGAGGGCUCCGCGCAGACUGAACUCCGCAGGGCGGGUGAAGGCUUAUAAAGCCUUGCCCUGCCCUGCCCUGCAAUUAGGCUAAGAACACUCUGAUUGGUGGGUUUAAGCCAAUCAGAGUGCUCUUUGUGAUUUUACACAGCGUGGGAAAAUUCAAAAGAACUUUCCCACGCUGUGUAAAAUGACACAGAGCACUGUGAUUGGAUGGCUUGAAAUCCAUCCAAUCACAGUGCUCUGUGUCAUUUUACACAGCGUUGGAAAGUUCUUUGGAACCAUAAGACAAAUCAGACUGGCACUGGGGGAAUAAUUUAUAUGUUAAGCCGUUCAAAAACGGUUUAGGAUAAUAAGGUAAGACUGAGGUAAGACUGAGCCCAUGUCUUCUAGCCCCGUAUCAAUGUCAAUGAAUAAGGUAACAAAGUUCUUCCUUCAAGUUAAAGUUGUUUUGGUGGUUUUGAGUAUCCCUUUAAAAGAAGCUGCCACUACCUAUGAUUUAAAUAUGUAUUUGUGAGGUGUGAAAAAAUAAACGUUAGGUGUAGAAAUCCAUAACUCUUUAUCCUGCCUUCGACUUGACUCUCUGUCAAUCAUUGUUAUAAACUUUGUCAUUUGCAAAUGACAGUCAGCAUAGAGAAAGCAUACAGAGAAAAGAAGAAAUGACAAACAAAAUUUCAAUAUCUCCUACUCAUUUGCAAUGUUUGCCCUGAUUUUGCCAUGUCUGAAAUGGAAUAUGAUGUAAAUUGACACUGUAAGCACCAUGGCUGUGGAGGAGGGGGGUCAGUUUGACAAACAAAGAGGGACUGCACCCAAAAAUUCUCUACACCAUAACCACUAAAACAAGUUAUUGUGGAAAUGGAGAUAUGAGUGCACCUUUAAUUAGAUUUCUUUUUCAAAUAAUGGAACACUGAUUUAUUCUUCUACAAUCUUUUUGGGAGAAUAUGUAUUUUAAUUUAAAAUUAUGCAAACUUUUGACCUGGUACACUGAUUUAUUCUUCUAAAAUCUUUUUGGGAGAAUAUGUAUUUUUAAUUUAAAAUUAUGCAAAUUUUGAAUCAGGAGUUAAUGAUACCAUAUAGAUAAUCUGAAGGAUUUAGUAAAUUGCCAAAGACAGAGACUGCCAUGUAAUUAUUUUCAAUGCAACUAGAUACAAUUUCAUUCUUUUAGGUCAUCAGGGAUGUUAGAAGCGCAGUUGUGCGUCAAAGAAUUAAGUUCAUGAUCAGUUCAGGCUCUGAUUCCGUUUCAUUGAUGCACUAGUGGUGUAGUUAUAUUAUUGUUACUAUAACUUAUUGAAUAUUUUGAUUUUAGCACAUUUGUAUAACGGCAAAUGCCUUGAUAAAUGCUGCUUUGAUUACGAGCCCAGAUGUCAGUGCUUCUCCAAGUCUUUGCUUGUCCUCAGUUGCCCCAAAGAACAAUGGCCUCUUGGUGCCAAAAGGUUAACUGUUAUUUGCGUUAUACUUAGGAUAAAUGUCCAGAUGUUCAAAAAUACAAUCAAAGCCAGCAAUACCUCUCUUAAAGAUAAACAAUGGGAAAACAAAAAAACUACCCAACCCCACAUUAUAUAUAUAUUCAAAAUUAUGCAAACAUGUUAAAUAUACUUAUCUUAAAUGUUCCUCUACAAGUAGAGAACCGUGGAACUGGGAAGAUUCCUUCCUACCAGAAACCUCUCAUUAUAGUCUGUGGGGUCUCAUCUUAUUCCAUAAAUCUCUGUCAGUGGUUUAUGGACUAAGUAUUUUAUCUGAAAUAGCAGGUCUUCUCAUAACAUAGGAUGAGUGAAUCUGCUCAAAAUAUGGAUAGCAGCUAUACUGUGGAUGCCAUCCAUUUAUACACAGCUUGGUUUACAGGUUUGUUGGGAGUUCACAAUUUUAUAUUAAAUUAUUAAUUUCAAAAUAACUGAGUGGGAAACUAAGCUAACAUGGAGAAUAUUAACAAUUUAGUAAUUUUGGACUGACUUUGCAAUUCCAUUGUCAAUGUCCAGACAACCCAUAUAUAGGCUGUGUUAGAAAACCCAAUACAAUCAAAAGAUACCAUAAGUUUAAGUCUACCUUAAUUGGAGACCUGUGUAAAGAGACAAGAGAAGACUGGAUGCAGAAAAUGAUUAAAGGGACACUAUAGGCACCCAGACAACAUUAUCUAAUUGAAGCGGUCUGGGUGCAGUGUCCCUGUCCCCUCAGCUCUGCAAUGUAAAAUAUUGCUGUUUUAGAGAAACUGUAAUGUUUAUAUUGGAGGGAUAAGUAGUUGUUGUCAGACAGCCACCAGAGAUGUUUUUUGCAUUCAGACGGAGUUUAACUGGAGGCACUGAAAAGAGGUAUAUUUUUUAUCUAUUUAUUGUUUAACCUUUUUAACAUCGGGAAGGGAGGCAUGGAUGGACAAUAAAUUUAUGCUUGAAGGACACUGUAGUUUUAGGAAUACACUUUUGUAUUCAUAAUGCGAUAAUGUUCCUUUAACCCUUUUCUAUGACAAUAAAACAAAAGAUGAAUAAAAGUGUUUUUUAUGUCUACAAGCAUAUGUUAGGUGUUAUUGUGCAAGAAAUCUAGAACUUGGUAGAACUUUGCCAGGCGCCCCCUACUAUCCCGUCACUUAUAAAGUGUGAUAGGUACGUGCAUUUUCUACGUUUGUGCGUGUGAGAGAGCAUGGCGGUGACGUAGGCUCCUGGAAGUCACCAAGUGCUUAAAGCGACCCUUUCAUUUGUGUAAUAUUUCAUAAAGAAAAAAUCUCUUUAAUACUAAUAUGUGCUGCUCUAAAGCAGGCUUGGCACAUUAAGGGGGGUGCAAAAUGUGGAACAGACCCCCAAAGUGUCAUAAACACUUUAAGAUAUAACAGAGGGGUAUACACCCCAUAUCAGCAGGCAUGGCAGUGGCUCCUUAGGUUGGGUGGGAUACAGUAUCCCUCCUCCUAUGACAGUGCUGCUCUCUAUGAAAAUCUACACUGACUGUAAACAGAUACAUAAUGGACCAAAGGCAGAGCUCAAGGCUAUUUAGAGCUUUGGCAAUCUUCAUGCUUUGCCCUGAGCCAUGACUGUCUUUUAUUUCUACAGCUGAGGAUCUAUUUUUUGGUUCUUGCAUCCUGCGCCAUACAAUGCAUUGAGGGUGUCACGGUAUGCGUAUCCCUCCGCGGCGGCCCCGUUACAGCGCUACAUAUUCCUCCGCGGACUCGCUGCCGCUGGCUGCGUGUAGCAGCGCUGGGUAGGAGGCUGGUGGGGGCGUGGNNNNNNNNNNNNNNNNNNNNNNNNNNNNNNNNNNNNNNNNNNNNNNNNNNNNNNNNNNNNNNNNNNNNNNNNNNNNNNNNNNNNNNNNNNNNNNNNNNNNACACACUGCCCCCCAUACACUCCCCCCAUACACACACAUUGCCCCCAAUACUGCUCCCCUUAGACACACACUGCCCCCCAUACACACACACACUGCCCCCCAUACACACACUGCCCCCCAUACAGCCCCCCCAUACACACAUACUGCCCCCAUACACACACAUUGCCCCCCAUACUGCCCCCCUUACACACACAUUGCCCCACACACUGCCCCCCAUACACACACUCUGCCCACCCCAUACACAUACACUCUACACACAUACACUAUCCCCAUACACACACACUGUAUGGACUCAGCAGUCUGUGUGUGUGUGUAUGGACUCAGCAGUCUGUGUGUGUGUGUGUGUGUGUGUAUGGACUCAACAGUCUGUGUGUAUGGACUCAACAGUCUGUGUGUAUGGACUCAACAGUCUGUGUGUAUGGACUCAGCAGUCUGUGUGUAUGGACUCAGCAGUCUGUGUGUAUGGACUCAGCAGUGUGUGUGUAUGGACUCAGCAGAGUGUGUGUUUGUGUAUGGACUCAGCAGUCUGUGUGUUUGUGUAGACUCAGCAGUCUGUGUGUGUGUAUGGACUCAGCAGAGUCUGUGUGUGUAUGGACUCAGCAGAGUCUGUGUGUGUAUGGACUCAGCAGAGUCUGUGUGUGUGUGUGUGUGUGUAUGGACUCAGCAGUGUGUGUGUGUGUAUGGACUCAGCAAUCUGUGUGUGUAUGGACUCAGCAAUCUGUGUGUGUGUGUAUGUGUAUGGACUCAGCAGUCUGUGUGUGUGUAUGGACUCAGCAGCCUAUCGAUAAUUAAAAUUCCUGUGAGUUGUUGUGUAGGAAGGGCCCCAGUGCAUUGCUUUGCCCAGGGGCCCUUAACUCUGUUAAAAUGGUACUGCUUGCGUGUGUCAGUGAGCUUCUAUUUAGUGAGCAUGUGUGUGUCAGUGAGCUUGUCUUUAGUGAGCUUGUGUGUGUGUCCCUGAACUUCUUUGUAGUGAGCCUUCUGUUUAUACAAGUGAGUGUCUGUAGUAAGCUUGUGUGUGAGUCAGAGAGUUUUGUCUGUCAGUAAGCCUAUUUGCGCAUGUCAGUGAGCUUGUGUGCUUACUGUACUAUAUAUAUGUACUAUAUAUAAAAAACGUAUGCCA